rnacentral:lncRNA from 1 species
UACCUCGCCGCCGUCCUCGAGUACCUCGCCGCCGAGCUGCUGGAGCUCGCCGGCAACGCCGCCAAGGACAACAAGAAGAGCCGCAUCAUCCCGCGCCACCUGCUGCUCGCCGUCCGGAACGACGAGGAGCUCGGCAAGCUGCUGGCCGGCGUCACCAUCGCGCACGGCGGCGUCAUCCCCAAGAUCAACCCCGUGCUGCUCCCCAAGAAGACGGCGGAGAAGGAGGGCCAGGCGCCCAAGUCCCCCAAGAAGGCCGCCAAGUCGCCCAAGAAGGCCGCCACCCCGAAGAAAGCUUAAGAGAGAUGCGCUCUCUGUCGUUUAGGAUGUGUGCUGUGUAGUGUUCGUCUGAUUAGUGAUGUGAAGGUGUUCCGUCUAGUUGUUGAUGUACCCUGUGUUGUGUUCAUGUUCAUGGAAGAAAUUCAGUAAUCUCUCUGAAUUCCCAAAUAUGCUGCUGUCUCUUUGAGUCAUUGCACAGGAGAUUUGAAUCACUGACGCGUCACCUGUUGCCCGUGUGGCUGAAAUUGGCAAACGAAUUUUGACAGAUGGCAGUUGUUCGGCUCAUGCUUGUGGAUUCAGUUUACUGCUCUGGAGGAGUAUUUGAGAAAGCAACAGCAGAGCGGUAAACUAUGCACAAAAACGGAGCAGUGAACUGAAUCUGGAUGCAAAUUGCGGUAAAAAACACUUCCUAUGAAUUUGUGUCGGAGGGAAUUGAAUAACCUGUCAAUGCCUGACAUCGUUCGCUGUGCGGAAGCGAAUAGCAUCCAGCACAACAAACGGUUCACGCCACAGAAGUCGCCUUGUCUCGGCUGGACCCUGUGAUUCCGGAAGUUUGCACGGAGGCAGACGACUCCGGGCUGUUCAUCGGCUGGGUGCAGGUGCAUCAUGCCCUUCACUACCGGGGAUUAAUUUCUGAACAGGAGCGACGGAUGGAGAGGGUUGUCCUAGCAAAUCUCUGUAAACAGUAUUCGCUCCGUUCGGAAAUAAGUGACGCUGUCAGUGAUGCCAAAAUGCUCGACCCAGCUGCGACCUGAUGGUUGGCAGCAGCAUGUAAAAACUGGCUGUUUUCAUCUCCUGCAACACACCAUCUGAUCUUUGCUCUUCUUCGCUACAUUGCAGUCUGCCAGAGAGUCAGCUUCUCAGCCUUUGCCGAAGCAAACUUACUGAAGGUGAACCCCAGCCCGUUUGUUAUUGUCAAUUGGGACGGACCAGAGUAAGUUUGGAGCCCUGAUGCGCCCCAAUUGGCCUGAACAACAACGCCUUUUGACGGCUCCAAUUCCUGAGAGCAGCCCUGAAUCCCCUGAUGCGCCCCAAUUUUAAGCUGAUUAGUGAGGUUGACGAGCUGAUGUGCCUGGUGCCCCUAGCCCACCCUUCCUGUAUAAUGUUUCUGGUUUCCUCCAUGUCCACCCAGUGGUUUUCAAACCGAAAUAAUCUGCAUUUUGGUGUCUCUCUGUUAAACUCCACCAAGAUGGGUGUCUGAUCCGAUGUAAUAGCAGUCUCAACCCUAGCAGAAGUUUGGAGGAAGCAUAAAUUCCAAUCCGCAUUGACAAGCACCCUGUCUAGACCAGAGUAGGAUUCCUUCUCUUAUUUGAACAGGUAAAAAUUCUAUUGGCGACGUCAAUGUCAUCCAGAGCAUUGUCAAUUGAUGCGGCAACUGGACUUCUCAUGAUCAUAUCUAUAUAUACAUGUUAAAAUCUCUCACAAUCAUCCAUGCUUCAUUGACAGAGCAGGCAAGUUGAUCCGUGACUUGGACAAAACGACCUUUCUUGGUUACAAGGAGCAUAAACAGUGGUUAACAGUGCUGAUAAGUUGCUUGAAACUGAGGAUACCUGGACAGUGCUACGGAAUUUAUGAGUAUGACAGGUGACAUUCGCCUGAUCCUACGCUAUCGAAAUCCCACCAGAAGAUAGAGCAUGCGAGUGCAGUCGACUUGGAAGAAGAGAUUUGAUCUUGAACAUGGAAAUAUCCUCGAGCUUGGUUUUCUGAAAACAAACAACAUUUGGGCCGCAGGAGGUUAUGGUAUUACAGACGAGCCAACACUUGUCCACAUUGCCAAGACAACGGACGUUUCAGUUUAGGAAUUUCAUCAGAGCAGUAAAAAAAACACGCCUUUUGCUUCGGUACACCCCCUUACAAGUUUACACGAAUCUUAAAGUUAGAACGCCGAUAAGUGCCACACGUGUGGGCAUUAGGGAGUCCGCCCACACAUUUUAUAUGGUGUAUAAGAGGAACAACCCACACACCUACGUGUGGGCAAAACAAUUAGCGCCCACACGCCUCUUUUUUUCCCUCCCAUUCCUCUCACACGCGUGCGUGUGGGCGAAGUUGAUAACGCCCACACGCCCGUAUGUCAGGCCUCGUACCUCCUGGUCCCGCACGCCACGCGUGACGGUCACCGCGCGCCCGCAGUUGCCAUGGUCCAGACCCUCGUCCAUAUUCGUUUAAUUGCAGUUGCCAUGUCGCUGAACUACGGUUGCCAUGUCGGACAACUGCAGUUGCCAUGGUUGCUCAAUUGCAGUUGCCAUGUAUGGUCUGAUCUAAUGUAGUUGCCAUGAUUUCAUAACUUUAGGAGUUGCCACAUACUAACACUAGGUAGUUGAGAGAGUUACCAUGUGCUCACAAGCAUGCUAGGGCAGUUGCCAUGUAAAAAGAAAGAGUUGCCAUCUGCUUACGUGCACGUUAGGGCAGUUGCCAUGUACAUGCACGUUAGGGCAGUUGCCAUGUAUCAUGCAAAAACAUAUGGCAACUCGGUAAAAGAAAAUUGCCAUCUGCUUACGUGCACACUAGGCAGUUGCCGUGUACCCUGCAAAACACAUGGCAAACUCGGGUAAAAAAGAGAGUUGCCACCUGCUUAUAAAAGCACACUAGGGGCAGUUGCCAUGUGCAGUGCAAAAACACAUGGCAACUAGCAGCUUGGGUGUGGGAGAGGAAAAUGACGUGUGGGCAAGAUGCCAAAUGCCCACACACUAGCUCUUGUGUGUGCGUGCAAAGUGGCGUGUGGGCGAACUGCUGAACGCCCACACACCAGCCCCUUCUGUGUGGUGAAACGGCCGUGUGGACGACCGACUGAACGCCCACACACCAGGCCAGUCCUACAUGGCACUAGAAAUAUGCCAAAAUUCGUGCGCUCACGAACGGACGCGGAUCCACACGUGUGGGUGCCCACACGUGUGGGCGUUAACAUUUCCGUAAAGUUACUUAAAAAGGCUAUCGCCAUAUUAGCCUGCAGAUGAAACAUAUAGAAUAGAUUUAUUUGGAUGUAAAAGACUAUAUUAUCCUUAUUGAUUAAAGGGGUAUCUUCUAAUCUUCACUUUUAAUCUGCAUUAAAAUCCGUAAACUUUUCUAGAAGGUGUACCGAAGCAAAGUUCAUAGCAUUAAGCCAUUAAGCCAGAACGAAGCAGAGGAGGAUGAUUGCAGAGAGCGGUGUAAACAAGGUAUCAAAAGUCAACAAUUUCAUUCCCAAAUGGACUAACAGAGUACAAAGUCCAAACGAUGAUGCGGUACAGGCUCUGAAGGAGCAACACACUGAAGGACACAAGUAAAAGAUAACUGCUAUCUGCUCGACAAUCCAUAGGAGCCGAAGCAAACUCGAUGACACUUGAACUGAGAAGGAAGGCAUAGGACACUGACGAAGCAGAGGUACCUCUGAUGAGCACAUGUAAUCCACAUGUAUGGGCGCACCUAUGCCUCGCUUAUAGCAAGACAUAGGUUGCAGUCGCAUCAGGCUUCUCACUAAAUGGGCCGGCCCAGCGCGGGAGGCCACUGGCUUGUUUUUUUUCGUUUUCUAUAUUUUUGAAACUUUCAAAUAUUUUAGAUGUACAUUACAGAAACACUUACCAUAAGGCAUUUUAUAGAAAAUGUUAAUUAAGCAUUUAAAAAUGUUAAAUGUGUAUGGAGAAAAUGUUUCUCAUAUAAAAAAACAUACAAUGUGUAUGAAAAAUGUUGAUCACGAAUUUAAAACAUGUUAAUCGAACAUUUGAAAAAAAAUAUUAAUCAUGUAUUUGAAAAAUGUUAUCAAGCUUUUGAAAAAUGUUAAAGGUGUAUAAAAAAUGUUUUACAUCUAUACGAAAACUAUAUAUAAAACAGAAAAAAGUGUGUACGAGAAAUGUUGAUCAUGUUGUUAGAAAAUGUUAAAUGUGUAUAGAGAAAAUGUUUCUCAUAUAUAUGAAAAAUUUAUACAAGAAAUAGAGAAUAUCCAUGAAAAUGUUGAUCACAUAUUUUUUAAAUGUUAAUCCAGCAUUUGAAGAAAAUGAUAAUAAAGUAUUUAAAGUAUAUUAAUCAAGCAUUUGAAAAAUGCUAAAUGUGUAUUAAAAAUGUUUGUCAUAUAUAUGAAAUAUAUAUACUACAAAACAAAUACAAUGUGUAUGAAAAAUGUUGAUCAUGUUUUUAAAAAUAUUUUAAAUGUGUAUGUAAAACAUGUUCUCGGAGUAUACAAAAAAUGUAUACUGUGUGUGGAAAACUGUUUAUUGCCACUAAAAAAAAUCCCCGCGUAUUGAAAAAUGUAGACCAUGUGUUAGAAAUAAUGUUAAUCUUGUAUUUACAAGAUGUUAAACGUGUAUAUACAAAUGUAUUAGAUAUAUAACAUAAAUGUACAUAUGUAUGCAAAAUAUUAGUAAAAAAUGUAUUAGUUAUGAAAAACUGUUAAUAAUAUAUUUUAGUAAUAUUAAACAUGUAUAUAAAUAUGUUUCUGAUGUAUACAAAAAAUAUAGAAUGUGUACUGAAAAAUGUUUGCAUGUGUUGAAAAAAAGAAAUCGAUGAAAAUCUACAAGAGAAACAAAGGAACCCAAUAAAAACAAAAAAACAUAAAAAAGAAAAUGAAAAAGAAAGAAAACCAAUGCAAAAGAAUGGAUGCAAUGAAAACCAAGAAAGAAACAAGAAAAAACGAAGAAAGCCAAUGAAAACCAGGAAAGAAAUAAAGAAAACCAAAACAAAAUAAAAAAAUGGAAAUGAAAGAAAAAACCCAAUGAAAAUGAAGAAAGAACAAAAUAAAACCAAAAAAAGAAAAUAAAAAAGAGUAAAAGACUGGAAUAUAGCAAAGAAAACCUGUAAAGAAUAAAGGAAAAAACAAAAAUGAAGAAACCUACGAAGAAUCAAAAAGCCAGAAAGAACAAAGAAAAUGAAAAAACACAAAUAAAACUGAAGAAAAAAAACUAAAAUAUGUGAUAUAUACAAAGCCUGUUUCACAUAAAGGAAUCAACGGCUUUACCAGUGAUUUAAUAUAUGCAAAGCCUGUUUCAUAUAAAUUAUGAAUUCUUGUGAAGAGCAUGAUAGAUGCAUAAAUAUGCAAAUAAUACACACGGAUAUGAAGCUGUCAAGAUCUGAUAGGAUGAAGGCUAUACUACAAGCCAAGAAUGGACAAACACCGAAUUGCCAUUGGUGUAAAAUAAAAUGUGCUAAUUUGAUUAUUGACUCUGGUACAAUUGGAAGACUAUUGGAAAUAUGCCCGGGAGGUAAUAAUAUUGUAUUAUUAUAUUUCCGUGUUCAUAAUUUAGAGUUUAUAUUUCAUGAUAUAACUGCUAUGAUUCUAGAAUAUGCGAUUAAGUGGAAAAAUUAUAUGCAUGUAGCGACCAGACCUCAAACGGUCCAAUCUCUGUGAUCCGGUGUCAUCCCUGGAUCAGUAAUGCUGACACCACACAGUACUUGAAGGAUUUAUAAUAGAGUAGCAAUCACACACUUAUUACAUCGACUGUCUCAAUAGAGAACUUAUUACAAUAAAUAUGGCUUAAGGCCAUCUAAUAACGAUAACAGCGGAAGGCUUGGAAGAUAAAUGAGUCCAUCAACUCCAACGGCAUCACUAAGUAUAGAACCACGAACUAAAACUCCUUAGUCAUCGUCUGAAAAGUCUGCAACAUUAACGUUGCAGCCCGAAACGGGUCAGCACAUGGAAUAUGCUCGCAAUGUAACACAUAGAGAGUAAUGGAAAGAAACAGUUAUUCUACAUGCAUAUUUGGCUGGUGGAAAGCUCUAUGAUUACAGUUUUGCGAAAAGCUAAUUUUUCCCUACUGCAAAGGAAUAAAUUUAUUUAACUAUCAUGGUGGUUGUUAAACAUUGAGAAUGGUUGACAGCAUUCUUAAUCCCAAUUAAACAUCAUCAUUAAACAAACCCAUCAAAAUUAGAUUUUAUAGUAACAUGUUGAGAUUCACAUGAUAAUCCAGGUACUAGAUACUCAAGAUGUCCAUAACCGAGGACACGGCUAACCAUGAUUAGUUUAUACACUCUACAGAGGUUUGCGCACUUUUCGUCACAAGACUCGAUCUCCUUCGUUGGAUUUCUUGCACUACAUGGUGUUCGAGAAACGAAUGACCGAGACAUAGUCUUUCAGAAGCGCUAGCACCUUACGAUGGGUAGACCGUACCACCUACAUCCCCUACAUCUGCUAGUCUACUACUGUAAGAGUUCGUACGACUUAGUCAACUAUGCUAGAGCCCAUAAUAGCUUGUGGCUGCACACGGAAGUUUCUAGCAUGAAUAAUCUCAUGAUUCCUUUGAACCUGAGUGGCGGUCCAAAAGAAAACAGGCAAUCCUGGAAUACCCAGGUACCUCAAUCCACCCAGAUGUGUGUUUAAGUUGCCACCUUAAAUAAACCAUUAAUUAACCAACUCACAUCUGUCAUGGAUACACUCACCCAAUCCACGUCUACUAGCAUAGCAUAGCAUAAUAAGCAACGUAGAAGUAACUCCCAAAGGUUUGAUAAUAAACAGGUAAUAGGUACUACCUCAACUACUUCCCAAACCCACAAUUUAAUUAGAUCCUAAUCAUGCAAUGUGUAAGGAUUGAUCUAAUGCAAUAAAACUGGGUAGUAGGAGGUAUGAUCAAAGUGUUACUUGCCUUGCUGAUGAUCCGGGAAACCUAGCGAUUCGAAGUAACAAGCGGCGCACUCCGGGUACUCUAUCACAAACAAACAAGCACACAAUAAGUACUCAACUGAUGCACAGGUAAAACUCAAAUAAGAGAUCUAACCAGAAGGUUCAACUUAAGAACUCCGGUUGGCAAAAAGAAUCCAAUCGAACGAAGCAACGAAAGACAAACAACAAAAGAAACAGGCUUCGUUUACUAUUCUGGAUCUAUGGCAAUUUUUACAGAAGAAAAAACUUGUUUAAUUUGGUUAAACGGAAAGAGCGUUUCGAGACGAAACUCCAGGCGCUUGAAUCGCCUGAUUCCGACAAACCAGCGAAAAGUUAUACUAAAACGAAAAUCGGAUCAGAAAUCGCGAUCAGAAAUAAUCGCGGAAAAUCCGAGGAAAAGAAAAACGACGAAUAGAUUAACGAACGAACGUUCGUUAUCUGGAUCUAAACGACGAACACAUUCGUUAAAACGAAUGAACGAGCGAACGCUCGCUAAAUAAACUAAACCGUAAAAAAACCGUUCUAAUAAAAAACGGAUCUAAGAAAACCGCGUUUUUUAAAAAAACCGGGCGGUUUUCUGAGGAAAACCACCGGUGACGGUGGCUACCUCGGGCGGCGGGGCGGCGGGGUCAGCGGCGAGGCAGGGCGGCGGCGAGGAGGCGCGGCGGGGCGGCAGCGNNNNNNNNNNNNNNNNNNNNNNNNNNNNNNNNNNNNNNNNNNNNNNNNNNNNNNNNNNNNNNNNNNNNNNNNNNNNNNNNNNNNNNNNNNNNNNNNNNNNNNNNNNNNNNNNNNNNNNNNNNNNNNNNNNNNNNNNNNNNNNNNNNNNNNNNNNNNNNNNNNNNNNNNNNNNNNNNNNNNNNNNNNNNNNNNNNNNNNNNNNNNNNNNNNNNNNNNNNNNNNNNNNNNNNNNNNNNNNNNNNNNNNNNNNNNNNNNNNNNNNNNNNNNNNNNNNNNNNNNNNNNNNNNNNNNNNNNNNNNNNNNNNNNNNNNNNNNNNNNNNNNNNNNNNNNNNNNNNNNNNNNNNNNNNNGCACAGAAAAACUAAUGAAAGAAAUACUAAACGGACUCCAAAAAUCCCGAAAUAAAUUUUCCCCGACUUCUAAAAUCAAGCCGGACGAAGUGAACAUUUAUUUGGGGCCUAAAUGCAAUUUUUAAAAACGCAUAUUUUUUCCUAAAUUCAAAUAAAUUAGCAAAUAAAACCAAAUAAAAUCUUAUUUGAUUUUUUUAUUAAAUCCUCAGUAUUUCUUUAUUUUGGGAAAGUCAUUUUAUUCCCUCUCUCAUAUUUUUGUAGUAGAAAUAAUUGAAGAUAAAAUAAAUAAAAUCAAAGAUCCUAUUUUCAAAAUUUGAGACAACUCAAAUAUGAAAAUAACGAAAUCCCCAACUCUCUCCGAGGGUCCUUGAGUUGCGAAAAAUUUCUAGGAUCAGCCAAAAUGCAAUAAAUAUGAUAUGCAAUGAUGAUCUAGUGUAUAACAUUCCAAAUUGAAAAUUUGGGAUGUUACAAACCUACCCCCCUUAAGAUGAAUCUCGCCCUCGAGAUUCAGGUUGGCUAGAAAAUAUGUGAGGAUGGUCUUUCAGCAAUUCUUCCUCUCGUUCCUAGGUGGCUUCAUCCUCCGAGUGGUGGCUCCACUGAACCUUGCAAAACUUGAUAACCUUGCUGCGGGUGACUCGAUUGGCAUACUCUAGAAUCUUAACUGGUUUCUCCUCAUAGGUCAAAUCACUGUCCAACUGAAUUGCUUCCAGUGGUACCAUAUCUCUCAGCGGUAUGUCAGCCAUCUCUGCGUGGCACUUCUUCAACUGGCACACAUGAAACACGCCGUGAACUCCUGACAGUCCUUCGGGUAAUUCCAACUUGUAGGCUACUUCUCCCAUACGUUCCAAAACUUUGUAUGGGCGUACAAAACGUGGCGCUAGUUUUCUCUUAACUCCAAAGCGGUUAACUCCUUGAAGUGGUGAUACUCGAAGAUAAACUCGGUCUCCAACUUCGUAAACUGUCUCCUUGCGUUUAGAAUCUGCAUAACUCUUCUGCCUGGAUUGAGCUACCUUUAGCCUGUCACGAAUUAAUUUCACUUUCUGUUCAGAUUCCUUUAUCAGAUCCGGUCCAAACAACUGGCGAUCUCCAACUUCAUCCUAGGACAGUGGGGUCCUGCACCUCCUUCCGUACAAGACUUCGAAAGGGGCCAUCUUCAAACUGGAUUGAUAGCUGUUGUUGUAAGAGAAUUCUGCAUACAACAAAUUCUCGUCCCAACUAGAUCCGUAAUCUAGCGCAUAAGCUCUUAGCAUAUCCUCCAAGAUCUGGUUGACUCUCUCAGUCUGUCCAUCUAUCUGCGGGUGGAAAGCUGUGCUAAACUCUAGUCUGGUUCCAAAGUCUCAUGCAACUGAUUCCAGAACUUGGAAGUGAACUGGGCUCGUCUAUCUGAUACAAUGCUCCUUGGAACUCCAUGCAGACAUACGAUCCUGGUCAUGUAUAUCUUUGCCAACUUUGCACUGGUAUAGGUAGUCUUCACUGGAAUGAAAUGAGCUACCUUUGUCAAACGAUCGACUAGAACCCAUAGCGAGUCAUAGCCUGAAUGUGUUCUAGGCAAUCCUGUAAUAAAAUCCAUGCCUAGCUUAUCCCACUUCCAUUCGGGUAUCAACAAUGGUUGUAGCAAUCUUGCUGGCUUCUGAUGCUCUGCCUUCACUCUCUGACAUACAUCACAAACUGCUACGUACUCCGCAAUAUCCUUCUUCAUUCCGGUCCACUAGAAAAUAUCCUUCAAAUCCAAAUACAUCUUGGUAUUUCUUGGGUGAAUCGAAUAUGGUGAAUCAUGGGCCUCUUGUAAAAUUAACUUCCUGAUCUCUGAAUCAUUUGGCACAUAAACACGGUCUUCAAAACAUAUCGUAUCGUGCUCAUCCUCACGAAAUCCCUUAGCUUUUCCUUUGCUAAUUUUCUCCUUAAUAGAAGCAAUCUCCUUGUCAGUCCUUUGGGCUUAUCUAAUUUUAUCCAUCAAUGUAGACUGAAUUUCCAAUGCUGCUACAUAGCCUCUCGGGACUAUUUCCAAACAUAGCUCUCGAAGAUUUUCGGCUAAUUCCCUUGGUAAAUCUCCCGUCAUUAAGGUGUUGACGUGGCUCUUACGGCUCAACCCGUCAGCUACUACGUUAGCCUUUCCAGGGUGAUAAUGCAAUCUCAUAUCAUAAUCCUUGAUGAGCUCCAACCAUCUCCUUUGUCUGAGAUUCAACUCCUUCUGUGUGAAAAUAUACUUCAGACUCUUAUGAUCCGUAUACACUUCGCAAUGGUUUCCAAUCAGAAAAUGUCUCCAAGUCUUCAGUGCAUGCACUACGGCUGCUAACUCCAAAUCAUGCGUAGCAUAAUUCAACUCAUGAGGCUUAAGCUGUCGUGAGGCAUAUGAAACAACUCUCCCUUCCUGCAUAAGCACUGCUCCAAGUCCUCGACGUGAAGCGUUGCAAUACACCUCAUAAUCCUUGGUCUGGUUUGGCAAAAUCAACACUGGUGAGGUAACCAAACGUUUCUUCAACUCCUGAAAACUAGCCUCACAUUCCUCUGUCCAUAUGAACUUGGUAUCCUUCUUCAACAACUCUGUCAUAGGCUUCGCAAUUUUUGAGAAAUUCUCAAUAAACCUCCGGUAGUAUCCUACGAGUCCAAGAAAACUCCGGAUCUCUCCCACGGUGGUUGGUGCUUCCCACUUGGUCACAGUAUCAACUUUAGUGGGAUCUAUGGCUAUACCUUCUCCGGAUAUAACGUGUCCGAGAAAUCUAACUUCCUUCAACCAAAACUCGCAUUUGCUAAACUUGGCAUAUAAUUGAUAUUCUCUGAGCUUUCCAAGAACCAAACGCAAAUGUUCCUUAUGAUCCUCUUUAUUCUUUGAGUAAACCAGGAUAUCAUCAAUGAACACUACGACAAACUUAUCCAAGAACUCCAUAAACACUUUGUUCAUCAUGUUCAUAAAAUAUGCAGGUGCAUUAGUCAGACCAAAUGACAUAAUGGUAUACUCGUACAGCCCAUACCUGGUGGUAAAAGCCGUCUUGGGUAUAUCCUGUUCCCGAAUCUUCAACUGGUGGUAUCCUGAUCGCAGAUCGAUCUUGGAAAAUACCUUAUCUCCUUGCAAUCGAUCAAACAGAUCAUUGAUCAUCGAUAGUGGGUACUUGUUCUUGAUGGUUACUUCAUUCAAUCCUCGAUAAUCGACAACCAUCCUUAACGAUCCAUCCUUCUUUUCUACUAGAAGUACUGGCGAUCCCCAAGGUGAAGAACUUGGGCGAAUAUAUCCUUUAUCCAGUAACUCCUUAAUUUGCUUCUUAAUUUCCACCAAAUCCUUUGUAGGCAUCCUAUAUGGUCUCUUUGAUAUUGGCCCUGUGCCUGGCAAAAGCUCAAUCAAAAACUCAAUAUCUCUAUCCGGUGGCAUGCCUGGCAACACUUCUGGAAAUACUUCGGGGAAAUCCUUCACUACUGGUACUUCCUCCUGCACAACUCUGGUUAAACAAUUUAUUUGAGUCCUCUUUGGCACAUGUCGGGAUACGUACUUGAUCCUUCUCCCUUCUGGGGUGGUAAGCAAAAUUGACUUACUGGCACAUUCAAUAUUCCCUUCAUACUUUGACAACCAAUCCAUGCCUAAUAUCACAUCCAAUCCUUGGGAUUCCAAUACUAUUAGGUCCAAGGGAAAAACAUAGUUACCAAUCCUUAAUGGUAACCGAUCACACCAUAGACUAGCCAUAUAUUCUGCUCCAGGCGAGGUUACUAACAUGGGUGACCUAAGGGCUUGGGUUGGCAAUUCAUACUUAUCCACAAAUCCCCUUGAUAUGUAUGAAUGCGAUGCACCAGUAUCGAAAAGAACGAGUGCAGUAAAUGACUUAACCAAAAAUUUACCGAUUACUGCAUCCGGCUGCUCUUCAACCUCCUCCACGUUAAUGUGGUUCAGCUGUCCCAUGUUGAAAGGGUUCGUCUUCUUCCCAGAGCUUCCAUUGCCAUUUCCAUUCUGUGAUUCAGGAAAUUCAUUGGCAUAAUGUCCGGUCUUCUGGCACUUAAAGCAAGUAACUUGGCUCAGGUCUUUCUUGGCUAGGGUCGAUGGGUUGGUGCGGUUUUGGCCGUUGCUUCCUCCAUUCCCAUUACCGUUCUUGGGGCCAUUGUGAUUGUGCGAUCUACCCCCUCCAUGGGUAUGCUGAAAAUGUCCUCCCGGCCUAGGGGUAAAUCAUGGCUUCUGCUGAGCUCCUGAAUUGUACUUUCCUUGUGCAUACUUCCUCUUGCGAUUCUCAAUUUGCUGCUGCUUCCCUUCAAUCAUGAGAGCACGAUCUACCAACUCCUGGUAGUUGUUGAAGGUUGCUAUCAUCAACUGCAUGCUCAACUCAUCAUUCAGUCCUUCCAGAAAUUUCUCUUGCUUAGCUGCGUCCGUAGCAACGUCAUCUGGGGCAUAACGUGCUAACUUACUAAAGUCCUCCACAUACUGGCCAACUGUCCGUCCUCCUUGGUGCAAGUUGCGAAACUCUCGCUUCUUCAUGGCCAUAGCUCCUGCUGAAACAUGGGCAGUUCGAAAAGCCUGCUGAAACUGGUCCCAUGUGAUAGUAUCGACAGGGAAAGUAGCUGUGAAGUUCUCCCACCAUGAUGCUGCGGGUCCUUCAAGCUGAUGUGCGGCAAACUUCACCUUCUCCGCAUCCGUGCAUCCUGCUGUGGUCAACUCUCUAGCUGUCUUGCGGAGCCAAUCAUCUGCUACUACCGGCUCGGUGCUACUGGAAAACACUGGCGGAUUCAGCCUAAGAAAACGGGCUAAGUGAUCAACAGGUGGUGGUGGUGGGUUGUUGUUGUUGUUCCCUUGAUUCUGAUUCUGGACUAGCAACUGCAUCAAUGUGUUCUGCUACUGGAUCAACUGGGUGAGCUCCGGUGGAAAGGUAAAUCCGGGGUCACGUCUCGGAGGCAUCUGAGGGUUUAUAAAAGAUGAGAUUUAAGAAUAGAGGGGGUCUAAAGAGAAAACACUACCCAUAUGCACAUGAGGCAAAAGCAAACAAUUCACUUCAUUCAUUCAAUCAAACAAGGGCAUACAAUCGAUCUAACUAUUGCAAAAGUGCUCAGACUAUAACAUUUACAUGGUGGACUACUACUACUAAUGAGGUGGUCUACUAGAAAUAUUCUUCGGUUGCAGACUCCAUGAUAUCUGCUCUAGCUUCAUCAACAUAGUCAUCAUCGCUAUCAUCUGGAUCCGAGUCGGUGUCGUCGAUGAUGAUGUAGUCUUCCGGGCGAAUCUCCUUGGGUUCUUCGUCUUCUUCUACUGGUGUAGGGCCCCCCAUAAAUAUUCCAAUCUUCAUUGUUAGGUCGGCAUUAUUAUCCACUAAUACUUCAAUUUCCUCUUCAUAAUCUUCAUGUGUAGCCUUGCGUUCUUCCUCCAGUUCCUUGGUUCUUGUCUUUGCCUUCUUCAGGUCUAUCAUGUCGGUGCACAUCUGGUUCUCUUGACAUCGAAUGUGCUGGUUUAACUCCUGGAUAAAAGCUACAAUUGAUCUAUCCUUUCUGGUGCUGAUCAUCUCCCAGUGCUCAUCUCGGCGCCCACAAAUCUGGUAGAUAGUAUCCUUGAGAUCAUUUCGGUAGACUAAUCCAAUGCGUCCCAUGGCGAUGUGAGCUGCCAUGCUCUUUCCUAGACUCCAAGUUGGUGCAUCAAAAGAAAACUCCAUGGGCUCAGUGAUUGGCAUGAACGUCGUUCCUGGAACUUGAACUUGAAUCAUCCAGCGCUCUUCUUCAGGUAAAGUGGCGUUGUAGGUUCCGGUGAAGCUUGGUACUCCUAUGUUCAGAUAUCUAGUGACUUCCUUCAAGUGACGUCCAAAGGGUGUAUCUUCAUCCGGUUGCGUGAACUUGUUCCUUGCAUCUACCAUCCUAAAAGAGUAGAAAAGAUGAGGAGUCAGAAAGAGAAGAGAUUGAGUAGUGAUCUAGGUCUUUAGAUUACUGGUCAUGUCCUACAGUCAGCGUGUGCUCUGAUACCAUCUUGUAGUGACCAGACCUUAAACGGUCCAAUCUCUGUGCUCCGGUGUCAUCCCUGGAUCAGUAAUGCUGACACCACACAAUACUUGAAGGAUUUAUAACAGAGUAGCAAUCACAUACUUAUUACAUCGAGUGUCUCAAUAGAGAACUUAUUACAAUAAAUAUGGCUUAAGGCCAUCUAAUAACGAUAAUAGCAGAAGGCUUGGAAGAUAAGUGAGUCCAUCAACUCCAACGGCAUCACUGAGUAUAGAACCACGACCUAAAACUCCUUAAUCAUCGUUUGAAAAGUCUGCAACAUUAAUAUUGCAACCCGAAACGGGUCAACACAUGGAAUAUACUGGCAAUGUAACACAUAGAGAGUAAUGGAGAGAAACAGUUAUUCUACAUGCAUAUUUGGCUGGUGGAAAGCUCUAUGCUUACAGUUUUGCGAAAAGCUAAAUUUUCCCUACCGCAAAGGAAUAAAUUUGUUUAACUAUCAUGGUAGUUGUUAAACAUUGAGAAUGGUUGACAGCAUCCUCAAUCCCAAUUAAACAUCAUCAUUAAACAAACCCAUCAAUAUUAAAUUUUAUAGUAACAUGUUGAGAUUCACAUGAUAAUCCAGGUACUAGAUACUCAAGAUGUCCAUAACCGGGGACACGGCUAACCAUGAUUAGUUUAUACACUCUACAGAGGUUUGCGCACUUUUCCCCACAAGACUCGAUCUUCUCCGUUGGAUUUCUCGCACUACAUGGUGUUUGAGAAACGGAUGACCGAGACAUAGUCUUUCAGAAGCGCUAGCACCUUACGAUGGGUAGACCGUACCACCUACAUCCCCUACAUCUGCUAGUCUACCACUGUAAGAGUUCACACGACUUAGUCAACUAUGCUAGAGCCCAUAAUAGCUUGUGGCUGCACACGGAAGUUUCUAGCAUGAAUAAUCUCAUGAUCCCUUUGAACCUGGGUGGCGGUCCAAAAGAAAACAGGCAAUCCUGGAAUACCCAGGUACCUCAAUCCACCCAGAUGUGUGCUUAAGUUGCCACCUUAAAUAAACCAUUAAUUAACCAACUCACAUAUGUCAUGGAUACACUCACCCAAUCCACGUCUACUAGCAUAGCAUGGCAUAAUAAGCAACGUAGAAGUAACUCCCAAAGGUUUGAUAAUAAACAGGUAAUAGGUACUACCUCAACUACUUCCCAAACCCACAAUUUAGUUAGAUCCUAAUCAUGCAAUGUGUAAGGAUUGACCUAAUGCAAUAAAACUAGGUAGUAGGAGGUAUGAUCAAAGUGUUACUUGCCUUGCUGAUGAUCCGGGAAACCUAGCGAUUCGAAGUAACAAGCGGCGCACUCCGGGUACUCUAUCGCAAAUAAACAAGCACACAAUAAGUACUCAUCUAAUGCACAGGUAAAACUCAAAUAAGAGAUCUAACCAGAAGGUUCAACUUAAGAACUCCGGUUGGCAAAAAGAAUCCAAUCGAACGAAGCAACGAAAGACAAACAGCAAAAGAAACAGGCUUCAUUUACUAUUCUGGAUCUAAGGCAAUUUUAUAGAAGCAAAAACUUGUUUAAGUUGGUUAAACGGAAAUAGGGUUUCGAGACGAAACUCCAGGCGCUUGAAUCGCCUGAUUCCGAUAAACGAGCGAAAAGUUAUACUAAAACAAAAAUCGGACCAGAAAUCGCGAUCAGAAAUAAUCGUGGAAAAUCCGAGAAAAAGAAAAACGACGAACAGAUUAACGAACGAACGUUCUUUAUAUGGAUCUAGACGACGAACACAUUCGUUAAAACGAACGAACGAGCGAACGCUCGCUAAAUAAACUAAACCGUAAAAAAACAGUUGUAAUAAAAAAACGGAUCUUAAAAAAAACCACAGUUUUUAAAAAAACCGGGCGGUUUUCCGAGGAAAACCGCCGGUGACGGCGGCUACCUUGGGCGGCGGGGCGGCGGGGUCGGCGGCGAGGCAGCGGCGACGCGGGCGGCGGGGUCAGCGGCGCUAGGGUUUGGGGCGCGCGGGCGGGCUGCGGGGCUGAGGCGCUGGUGGGCUUCGGCGGCUCGGGCGAGCGGCUUAUAAAGGCCCCCCCCCCCGGGCGGAGUCCCGCUCGGGUACGGCCCGGAGUCGGUUCGGAAUUUUUUUUAAAUUAAUUCCGGGCAGAAAAACUAACGAAAGAAAUACUAAACUGACUCCAAAAAUCCCGAAAUAAAUUUUACCCGAGUUCUAAAAUCAAGCCGGACGAAGUGAACAUUUAUUUGGGGCCUAAAUGCAAGUUUGAAAAACGCACAUUUUUUUUCCUAAAUUCAAAUGAAAUAGCAAAUAAAACCAAAUAAAUCUUAUUUGAUUUUUUUAUUAAAUCCUCAAUAUUUCUUUAUUUUGGGAAAGUCAUUUUAUUCCCUCUCUCAUAUUUUUGUAGCAGAAAUAAUUGAAGAUAAAAUAAAUAAAAUCAAAGAUCCUAUUUUCUAAAUUUGAGACAACUCAAAUAUGAAAAUAAUGAAAUCCCCAACUCUCUCCGAGGGUCCUUGAGUUGCGAAAAAUUUCUAGGAUCGGCCAAAAUGCAAUAAAUAUGAUAUGCAAUGAUGAUCUAGUGUAUAACAUUCAAAAUUGAAAAUUUGGGAUGUUACAAUGCACGUGUGGAAUGAUAAACGGUAAAGAAUAGGUUCCUAGUCUUGUCUCUAAGACUGUCUCAAGUGUUGCUCGUGAUCAUGUUUUCCGGAUCUUAGGAUAUCUUUAAGUGUAACGAUAGUUCUAAAACAACAUUGAGAGUAUGAUGUUAGAAGAACGAUCAUAUUGAAUCGACCCAAACUUGUUUUUUAUACUUUGAGAUAAUAUCGUCUGAAAUCAAUUGUUAUAACACAAAGUAUUAGUAUGUGUUUUUAGUUCCUCGGACCAUGAGAGUAUCCUAGUCACUUUCUAUUGUACGCUGGACUUUGGGGUCGCUCAAACGUCAUUAGUAACACGGUGAUCAUAACGAUAACUUAUGGGUUCAUCGGAAAGUUUGACGAGCGACUAGAUAGCUCGAGAGUGGAAUUUGCUCCUCCGACGAUGGAGAGAUAUUCUUAAGGCCCUCUUAGUGUGAAGGUAUCCAUCAUCGCUUGGCCAGGCAUAGGUAACUAUGUCACGGGGAUGCCGUAACAUUUCAACGAGAAAGAAGAAGAAAACAGGCAACGAGAUCAGUGGUAUGGUGAGCAUGUGCAUGACUUAGGAGGAUAUUGAUGCAUACCGGGUGUUUUAAAGUAUCAUGAAGCAAAGGGAACAUCACAUGAUAACCAUAGGUUCACUUGAAUGUCAUUCGUGUACUCAUAGGGAUCGAUAUGGACGUCCACGGUUCUGCUGUUGGUCAUUGAACGAAGGACUUCCAUUCAUGUUUAUGAUUUAUCGAACCUACUGGGUCAUAAGCUUAAGGUAAUCACGAUCUGCUGAGUUUUAGUAGGACGAGAGUAUGGAGGAUUUAUUUCUGAAAUUGUUUCAUUAAUAUUUAGAAUAGUUACGAGAAGAACCAAAAGCGUUUCGGGGUCACCAGAAGGGUUUCAGAGUUUAUCGGGCAAUACCGUGUAUUACUAAUAAAUAAUAUAUAGGUGGAAAAUGUUUCUGAAGAUGUUAAAUUAUAUACAAAAUGCUCUAGUAAUUAUUAGAGGGCUUUUAUAUUUAAUUUAAUAUCAACGGGCCUUAAAAGGCCAAACUGUGGAGAGAGAAUUGGGCUAUAAGGGCCCAUGUAGGGGAGGCGCCCCUUUCCCCCUUGAGGGAGGCCGAAUUGGGGUGGAGGAAGGGCUCCUCCUUCCCCCUUUUGGCUGGCGCAAGGAGGGGAGUACCGCCCCUCCUUGUGGCGCCCCUCCCUCUCCCCUCAACCUAUAUAUACUAGAGGUCCAAGACACUUUGAAGGCACAAGUUUUGGAGCCUCCUCUAGUUCCUCUAGUUCUAGUUCUAGCUGAUCCUAGUUGUUCAAUUAGAGCUUGACCUAGAUCCUAUGAUCCUCAUAAUUAGAAGUCUAGUGUGGUUCUAACAUCCUCCCUCUAAUUCUCCGGAAAUGAUUAGCUCUGGACGGCGAAGCGCUGUUGGACCGUGAAGACCGUACGCUUGCAACCAAGUAGAGAGGCCGUGCUUUUGGUCGUCCGUUCAAGGGAUCGUUCGAGGGUGGUUCACGAGAUCAUCAGUAACGGUUCGAGGGACUCCAAGUACUAUCUACACCGACUUGUAUUCUUCCGCUGCAACUCCGGAGUUGGUAACCAUCGUCGAUCCAAACCUAUAUGCAUCUUCAUAUUGUUCCUAGGUGGUCGUAGGGACAAUUUUUUGUUUUCUACUACGUUUCCCAAUAGGGAGCCCCUCCUCCAAGCCAGGGUGUAUUUCCCCGUUGAGGUUGGGGCUCACCUCUCUCUCUCUCUCUCUCUCUCUAGUUCUCCACUACUGUCCUCCCUGAAGGGAUGCUCCACCCUCUAGUUCUUCUCCGACAUUGCAUAGCUCUGGACGGUGAAGCCAUGCUGGAUCAAAGGAUUUGUACAUGUGCAUUCUGAUAGAAUUACCGUACGUUCAGUUCUAGUUCGAGGGGUUGGUACGAGGGAUGCCGAGAAUGCGAUCUUCACCAAAUCUUCUUCCGCUACAAUUCAUUUGGUUGUGAGAUCAGAUCUAACCUUGUAUGUACAUCUUCACAGUGAUCAUGGGAACUAGAUUCAUAGGCUGAUUUUGUUGUUGUUUUCUACUAUGUUUCCCAACAAAAGUUGCACGCAUGGAGUUAUUAAGGCCUAAACACAUUACAAGUUUCUAAAUCUUCACGCAAUCAUGCAACCUUGAAUCUGCAUUCUCCUUCCCUGUGUGUGCUAUAAAUCCUCUCUCCCUUGGCCCCCAUGUUGUUCGUUCUUGUCAUGGAACCGCUGGACGCGCUAUUCCGCUCAGCGCAACUGAUAUGUCCAUAGUAUGUUGCAACAACUUCCUUGUCGGAGGAUUGAGCGCCAUUUUCCUGUCACCCAUGGUGUGCGACAUGUCUAUGUGGUGUUCGACUACUUUGGUGGUCCUAAUGGGCACAUUACCAAUGUGAGAAGUGCUAUGACGCCCCAAUGUAGUGCAUGCCUCCACACCUGCCAACUAUUGCCUCAUAAUUUCCAUGCAGUGUUAUCAAUUUUCCCUGCAGAGACCUUGGGAUCUAUUGUCCUACAAGAGGGUUUCCAAGGCUACACUGCAAUUUAGCAUCGAAAUGAUUUAUUUUGGCAAAUGGCAUCGUGGAAAGCCAACCUUCUUACCCUGGAAGGACGCUUGGUGCUCAUCAAGCCUAUAUUGUAUUCUACUUUGGUUUAGCAUUCCAUUGACAUGGAUCUCCUAUAGUGAUUGAUAACCGAGAUGGAUAAGCAUACCAGGGUUGUUUGUGGAAAGGCAUUGAGUCAGUUCAUAGAGGUAAUUGUCCCGUUGGUUGUGGCCGUGUGCGUGCUAGUUGAAUACCACAAUCUUAGACCUCUUGCAAUUGUAGUAUCAGAACUUGUAUCACUAAUCUAUGACACUACAUGUGACACCCUCAAUUCAAUCGUACACUAAUCAUACACGUAAACGUGUAUGAUCAAGAUCAGAGACUCACGGGAAGAUAUCACAACACAACUCUACAAAUAAAAUAAGUCAUACAAGCAUCAUAUUACAAGCCAGGGGCCUCGAGGGCUCGAAUACAAGAGCUCGAUCAUAGACGAGUCAGCGGAAGCAACAAUAUCUGAGUACAGACAUAAGUUAAACAAGUUUGCCUUAAGAAGGCUAGCACAAACUGGGACACAAAUCGAAAGAGGCGUAGGCCUCCUGCCUGGGAUCCCCCUAAACUACUCCUGGUCGUCGUUAGCGGCCUGCACGUAGUAGUAGUCACCUCCAGUGUAGUAGGAGUCAUCGUCAAUGGUGGCGUCUUGCUCCCGGACUCCAACGUCUGGUCGCAGCAAUCGGGUAUAGAAAGAGGGAAAGGGGGGAGGAAAGCAACCGUGAGUACUCAUCCAAAGUACUCACAAGCAAGGAGCUACACUACAUAUGUAUGCAUUGGUAUCAAAUGGAAAAGGUGGUAACAUAUGUGGACUGAACUGCAGAAUGCCAGAAUAAGAGGGGGAUAGCUAGUCCUAUCGAAGACUACGCUUUUGGCAACCUCCAUCUUGUAGCAUGUAGAGGAGAGUAGAUGGUAAGUUCACCAAGUAGCAUCGCAUAGCAUAAUCCUAACCGAUGAUCCUCCCCUCGUCGCCCUGUGAGAGAGCGAUCACCGGUUGUAUCUGGCACUUGGAAGGGUGUGUUUUAUUAAGUAUCAGGUUCUAGUUAUCAUAAGGUCAAGGUACAACUCCAAGUCGUCUUGUUACCGAAGAUCACGACUAUUCGAAUAGAUUAACUUCCCUGUAGGGGUGCACCACAUUUCCCAACACGCUCGAUCCCCUUUGUCCGGACACACUUGUCUGGGUCAUGCCCGGCCUCGAAAGAUCAACAUGUCGCAGCCUGAUACGUCUCCAACGUAUCUAUAAUUUUUGAUUGCUCCAUGCUAUAUUAUCUACUGUUUUGGGUAAUAUUGGGCUUUAUUAUCCACUUUUAUAUUACUUUCGGGACUAACCUAUUAACCGGAGGCCCAGCCCAGAUUUGCUGUUUUAUGCCUAUUUCAGUGUUUUGAAGAAAAGGAAUAUCAAACGGAGUCAAAACGGAAUGAAAUCAACUCGAGAAGUUAUUUUUGGAACAAAAGCCACCAGAUAGACUUGGACUCCACGUCAAGAGAUAUGGGAGGUGCUCACGAGGGUGGGGGGCGCCCCCCUAGGGCGCGCCCUACCUCGUGGGGCCCUCGUGGCUCCUCCGACGUACUUCCUGCACCCAUAUAUAUCAUCGUACCCUAAAACUUCCAGAACGCAACAUAGAUCAGGAGUUCCGCUGCCAGAAGCCUCCGUAGCCACCAAAAACCAAUCUAGACCCGUUCCGGCACCCUGCCGGAGGGGGCAAUCCUUCUCCGGUGGCCAACUUCAUCAUCCCGGUGCUCUCCAUGACGAGGAGGGAGUAGUUCUCCCUCGGGGCUGAGGGUAUGUACCAGUAGCUAUGUGUUUGAUCUCUCUCUCUCUCUCGUGUUCUUGAGAUGAUACGAUCUUGAUGUAUCGCGAGCUUUGCUAUUAUAGUUGGAUCCUAUGUUUCUCCUCCCCCUCUUCUCUCUUGUAAUGAAUUGAGUUUCCCCUUUGAAGUAAUCUUAUCAGAUUGAGUCUUUAAAGAUUUGAGAACACUUGAUGUAUGUCUUGCCGUGGAUAUCUGUGGUGACAAUGGGAUACCACGUGCCACCUGAUGUAUGUCUUGGUGAUCAACUUGCGGGUUUCGUGACAUUGGGAACCUAUGCAUAGGGGUUGGCACACGUUUUCGUCGUGAUUCUCCGGUAGAACUUUGGGGCACUCUUUGAGGUCCUUUGUGUUGGUUGAAUAGAUGAAUCUGAGAUUGUGUGAUGCAUAUCGUAUAAUCAUACCCACAGAUACUUGAGGUGACAUUGGAGUAUCUAGGUGACAUUAGGGUUUUGGUUGAUUUGUGUCUUAAGGUGUUAUUCUAGUACGAACUCUAGGGCUGUUUGUGACACUUAUAGGAAUAGCCCAACGGAUUGAUUGGAAAGAAUAACUUUGAGUGGUUUCAUACCCUACCAUAAUCUCUUCGUUCAUUCUCCGCUAUUAGUGACUUUGGAGUGACUCUUUGUUGCAUGUUGAGGGAUAGUUAUGUGAUCCAAUUAUGUUAGUAUUGUUGAGGGAACUUACACUAGCGAAAGUAUGAACCCUAGGCCUUAUUUCCUAUCAUUGCAAUACCGUUUACGCUCACUUUUAUUAUUAGUUACCUUGCUGUUUUUAUAUUUUCAGAUUACAAAAACUAUUAUCUACUAUCCAUAUACCACCUGUAUCACCAUCUCUUCGCCGAACUAGUGCACCUAUACAAUUUACCAUUGUAUUGGGUGUGUUGGGAACACAAGAGACUCUUUGUUAUUUGGUUGCAGGGUUGCUUGAGAGAGACCAUCUUCAUCCUACGCCUCCUACGGAUUGAUAAACCUUAGGACAUCCACUUGAGGGAAAUUUGCUACUGUCCUACAAACCUCUGCACUUGGAGGCCCAACAAUGUCUACAAGAAGAAGGUUGUGUAGUAGACAUCAAGCUCUUUUCUGGCGCCGUUGCCGGGGAGGUGAGUGCUUGAAGGUAUAUCUUUAGAUCUUGCAAUCGAGUCUUUUAGUUUCUUGUUUUAUCACUACUUUAGUUUAUAAAAGAAAAUUACAAAAAAAAUGGAAUUGAGUUUGUCUCAUACGCUUCACCUUUUUAAUAUCUUUCGUAAGUACGGUGGAAAGGAAAAUCGUGCUCAAGUGCUAGAAGAAGAAAUCUAUAAAAUGUUUGGCACUAAAUAUUUGAAUGAUGAGCAUGAUUGCAAUGUUGUUAGUACGAAUUCUUUGAAUAUCCAUGAUGCUAAUGAUGAUUGCACUAGUUAUGAUGAAAAUGCCUCCUAUAAAUAUGCCAAUUUUUGUGGAGUAGAUUGGGUUUGCAAGUACACACCAAGUAGGGAAGAUAGAUAUUGCAAGAGGCAUAAGUACUUAGAAACUAAAUUGUUGCAAGAAGAGCUAGAUGAAUGUGCUGAAAGAUUCAAUAUUUUUCGUGCUCCUUGUGAACUUUGCAAUGAACAUGGUCAUUUAAAUCUCCAAUGCUAUUUGUUUCAUGAUCAAGUCGUGUUCAAAUAUUGUGAUAAUUUGAUUAACCUUGAGCAUCAUAAAGAGUUUAGCCUUCUUUUGGGUUAUGAAGAAAUGAAACGUAUAACUGAGGAUAUUCCAAAAUUUGCCCUUGAUAAAGUUCUUCGUUUUGAUCUAGAGAAUAUUUAUAUGUAUUGUGCGGUGAAUUGCAUUGAAAGUCCUUAUAUUGCCAAUUACAUAAAGAAAAGAAAACAAAUAGAAUAUGAAGAGAAUACUAACGGAAGGGAAAAGACUUCCCAAUAUCCUCCUAUUAUUCCUUAUGAUGAAUCAGGUAACGAGGAGGAGCCUCCUACUCAACCAAUCUCAUUAAUAAGGAGCUCCAAAAAGAGAAUUGAACCCACGCAUGAUGUGGUGAAGAAGAAGAAAAGAAAAAGGAAGAGAGGUAAAAAGAUAUCCCUCCCAAAUAAUGCUGCUCCUAUUACUAUUAUGCCUCAUGAAAAUAUAAUUGUGGAAGAUAAUGAUACUUCUUAUGAUCUUGAAAAUCUUUUUGGCACUUGCUUGGAAGAAUAUAAUAAUUGCUAUACUAUUGGUGCUAUCCAUGCUAUUAAUGAUGAGAGUGAUUAUGCUUAUGAUACGAAAAGGCCCAAGCUUGGGGAAGCUAUGUUUGAUGAGGAUGACAUAUUUGAGAAUAUAUUUGCUGCAAUUAAUGUUUGUCCCAAGCUUGGGGAUGCUACGCUUAAUGAAGAUUAUAUUUUUAGUCUCCCAAGUUUUGAUAUGCAAAUUCGUAAUGAUAAUAACAUGCCUCCUACUUAUGAUAAUUAUUGUGAUGAUACAUAUGCUAUAAAAAGUAGUGAGGAUUAUAUUUAUAAAACUUGUCAUGAUUAUGGUUACCCCUUUUCUGAACAUUACUCUUUUAAUGUGGAAACAAUUUAUAAUAUUCAAGUCUCUUAUUAUACUCCCACUAUCCCGAAUGAGAACAAUUUUGCUUAUGUGGAGAGUAGUAAAUUUUGCAUGCUUGGAGAUCAUGAAAAGAAUGCUUUAGGUGCUGGUUAUAUUGUUGAAUUCAUUCAUGAUGCUACUGAAAAUUAUUAUGAGGGAGGAACAUAUGCUUGUAGGAAUUGCAAUAAUAUCAAGUUUCCUCUCUAUGUGCUUAAAGUUUUGAAGUUAUGCUUGUUUUAUCUUCCUAUGCAAGUUGAUUCUUGUUCCGACAAGUUAUUUGAUCACAAAAUCCCUAUGCAUAGGAAGUAUGUUAGACUUAAAUGUGCUAGUCAUAUUCUUCAUGAUGCUCUCUUUAUGUUUCAAUUCUUAUCUUUUAUGUGAGCAUCAUUGAAAUCAUCAUGCCUAGCUAGGGGCGUUAAACGAUUGCGCUUGUUGGGAGGCAACCCAAUUUUAUUUUUGUUCCUUGCUUUUUGUUCCUGUUUAGUAAUAAAUAAUUCGUCUAUCCACUGUUUAGAUGUGGUUUUAUGUGUUUAAUUAGUGUUUGCGCCAAGUAGAACCUUUGGGAAGACUUUGGGAAAGUCUUGUUGAUCAUGCUGUAACAAACAGAAACUUUAGCGCUCACAAGAACUGCUGCCAUUUUUAUUUGGAGAGUGAUAUUUAGUUAAUUAUUUUUUCAUAUGAUUAAUAGAUAAAUUCCUCAGGUCCAGCAAUUUAUUUGAGAAUUUUAUGAGUUCCAGAAGUAUACGUUUGAUCCAGAUUACUACAGACUAUUCUGUUUUUGACAGAUUCUGUUUUUCAUGUGUUGUUUACUUAUUUUGAUGAAUCUAUGAGUAGUAUCCGAGGGUAUGAACCAUAGAGAAGUUAUAAUGCAGUAGGUUUAACCAUUGUUGAGGAAAUCGUUAACUGGUAGCUGCUCGGUUGGCUGACGAGUAGGGGAUUAAUAGGCUAAUCGGCAAGUUAAUCGGCCAUUUAAUCAAUUACUCGGGUGAUUAAUCAGUUAAUCGGUUACUCGGUGACCCUACGAGUAGGGAUUAAUCAGCAAGUUAACUGGUUAAUCGGAUGAAUUCUUGAACAGGGGGUUUAACACCAAUAUAAAUAAAGAAUGAGUUCAUUACAGUAACUUGAAGUGGUGAUUUAUUUUCUUAUACUAACGGAGCUUACGAGUUUUCUGUUAAGUUUUGUGUUGUGAAGUUUUCAAGUUUUGGGUAAGGAUUCGAUGGACUAUGGAAUAAGGAGUGGCAAGAGCCUAAGCUUGGGGAUGCCCAAGGCACCCCAAGGUAAUAUUCAAGGACAACCAAGAGCCUAAGCUUCGGGAUGCCCCGGAAGGCAUCCCCUCUUUCGUCUUCGUUCAUCGGUAACUUUACUUGGAGCUAUAUUUUUAUUCGCCACAUGAUAUGUGUUUUCCUUGGAGCGUCAUGUCAUUUUCUUUUGCUUUGCUUGCUGUUUGAAUAAAGUACCAAGAUCUGAAAUUAUUAAAUGUUAGAGAGUCUUUAUAUAGUUGCAUAAUUAUUCGACUACUCAUUGAUCUUCACUUAUAUCUUUCGGAGUAGUUUGUUGUUGGUCUAGUGCUUCACUUAUAUUCUUUUAGAGCAUGGUGGUAGUUUUAUUUUGAAGAAAUAGAUGAACUCUCAUGCUUCACUUAUAUUAUUUUGAGAGUUUUAAAUAACAUGGUAAUUUGCUUAAAAUCCUAAUAUGCUAGGUAUUCAAGAAUAAUAAAAUUCUCUUAUGAGUGUGUUGAAUACUAUGAGAAGUUUGAUACUUGAUGAUUGUUUUGAGAUAUGAGGAUGGUAAUAUUAGAGUCAUGCUAGUUGAGUAGUUGUGAAUUUGAGAAAUACUUGUGUUGAAGUUUGUGAUUCCCGUAGCAUGCACGUAUGGUGAACCGUUAUGUAACGAAGUUGGAGCAUGAUUUAUUUAUCGAUUGUCUUCCUUAUGAGUGGCGGUCGGGGACGAGCGAUGGUCUUUUCCUACCAAUAUAUCCCCCUAGGAGCAUGUGCGUAGUACUUUGUUUCGAUAACUAAUAGAUUUUUGCAAUAAGUAUGUGAGUUCUUUAUGACUAAUGUUGAGUCCAUGGAUUAUACGCACUCUCACCCUUCCACCAUUGCUAGCCUCUCUAGUACCGCACAACUUUCGCCAGUACCAUAAACCCACCAUAUACCUUCCUCAAAACAGCCACCAUACCUACCUAUCAUGGCAUUUCCAUAGCCAUUCCGAGAUAUAUUGCCAUGCAACUUUCCACCGUUCCGUUUAUUAUGGCGCGCUCCAUCAUUGUCAUAUUGCUUUGCAUGGUCAUGUAGUUGACAUCGUAUUUGUGGCGAAGCCACCAUUCAUAAUUUUCCAUACAUGUCACUCUUGAUUCAUCGCAAUCCCGGUACACCGCCGGAGGCAUUCAUAUAGAGUCAUACUUUGUUCUAGUAUCGAGUUGUAAUCAUUGAGUUGUAAAUAAAUAGAAGUGUGAUGAUCAUCAUUCAAUAGAGCAUUGUCCCAAUAAAAAAGAAGAGAAAGGCCAAAGAAAAAAAAGGCCCCCCCCCCCAAAAAAAGAAAAUAAAUAAAAAGGGGCAAUGCUACUAUCCUUUUUCCACACUUGUGCUUCAAAGUAGCACCAUGAUAUAGCGAGUCUCAUAUAUUGUGCUUCAAAGUAGCACCAUGUUCUUCAUAUAGAGAGUCUCAUAUGUUGUCACUUUCAUAUACCAGUGGGAAUUUUACGUUAUAGAACUUGGCUUGUAUAUUCCAAUGAUGGGCUUCCUAAAAAAUUGCCCUAGGUCUUCAUGAGCAAGCAAGUUGGAUGCACACCCACUAGUUUCUUUUGUUGAGCUUUCAUACAUUUAUAGCUCUAGUGCAUCCGUUGCAUGGCAAUCCCUACUCACUCACAUUGAUAUCUAUUGAUGGGCAUCUCCAUAGCCCAUUGAUACGCCUAGUUGAUGUGAGACUAUCUUCUCCUUUUUGUUUUCUCCACAACCACCAUUCUAUUCCACCUAUAGUGCUAUGUCCAUGGCUCACGCUCAUGUAUUGCGUGAAGAUUGAAAAAGUUUGAGAACAUCAAAAGUAUGAAACAAUUGCUUGGCUUGUCAUCGGGGUUGUGCAUGAUUUAAAUAUUUUGUGUGGUGAAGAUGGAGCAUAGCCAGACUAUAUGAUUUUGUAGGGAUAACUUUCUUUGGCCAUGUUAUUUUGAGAAGACAUAAUUGCUAUAUUAUCUACUGUUUUGGGCAAUAUUGGGCUUUAUUAUCCACUUUUAUAUUAUUUUCGGGACUAACCUAUUAACCGGAGGCCCAACCCAGAUUUGCUGUUUUAUGCCUAUUUCAGUGUUUUGAAGAAAAGGAAUAUAAACGGAGUCAAAACGGAACGAAAUCAACUGGAGAAGUUAUUUUUGGAACAAAAACCACCAGAUAGACUUGGACUCCAUGUCAGGAGAUACGGGAGGUGCUCGCGAGGGUGGGGGGCACCCCCCUAGGGCGCGCCCCCUGCCUCGUGGGGCCCCCAUGGCUCCUCCGACGUACUUCUUGCACCCAUAUAUAUCGUCGUACCCUAAAACUUCCAGAACGCAACAUAGAUUGGCAGUUCCGCCGCCAGAAGCCUCCGUAGCCACCAAAAACCAAUCUAGACCCGUUCCGGCACCCUGCCGGAGGGGGCAAUCCUUCUCCGGUGGCCAUCUUCAUCAUCCUGGUGCUCUCCAUGAGGAGGGAGUAGUUCUCCCUCAGGGCUGAGGGUAUGUACCAGUAGCUAUGUGUUUGAUCUCUCUCUCUCUCGUGUUCUUGAGAUGAUACGAUCUUGAUGUAUCGCGAGCUUUACUAUUAUAGUUGGAUCCUAUGUUUCUCCUCCCCCUCUUCUCUCUUGUAAUGAAUUGAGUUUCCCCUUUGAAGUAAUCUUAUCGGAUCGAGUCUUUAAAGAUUUGAGAACACUUGAUGUAUGUCUUGCCGUGGAUAUCCGUGGUGACAAUGGGAUACCAUGUGCCACUUGAUGUAUGUCUUGGUGAUCAACUUGCGGGUUUUGUGACAUUGGGAACCUAUGCAUAGGGGUUGGCACACGUUUUCGUCGUGAUUCUACGGUACAACUUUGGGGCACUCUUUGAGGUCCUUUGUGUUGGUUGAAUAGAUGAAUCUGAGAUUGUGUGAUGCAUAUCGUAUAAUCAUACCCACGGAUACUUGAGGUGACAUUGGAGUAUUGUAGCGACCAGACCUCAAACAUUCUGAUCUCUGUGCUCCGGUGUCAUCCCUGGAUCAGUAAUGCUGACACCAUACAUUACUCAGAGGAUUUAUAACAGAGUAGCAAACACACACUUAUUACAUCGAGCGUCUCAAAAGAGAACUUAUUACAAUAAAUAUGGCUUAAGGUCAUCUAAUAAUGAUAACAGCGGAAGGCUUGGAAGAUAAGUGAGUCCAUCAACUCCAACGGCAUCACUGAGUAUAGAACCACGACCUAAAAACUCCUUAAUCAUCGUCUGAAAAGUCUCAACAUUAAUGUUGCAGCCCGAAACGGGUCAGCACAUGGAAUAUGCUGGCAAGGUAACACAUAGAGAAUAAUGGAAUGAAACAGCUAUACUAUAUGCAUAUUUGGCUGUUGGAAAGCUCUAUGGUUACAGUUUUGCAUAAAGCCAAUUUUUCCCUACUUCAAAGGAAUAAAUUUAAUUACUAUCAUGGUGGUUGUUAAACAUUGAGAAUGGUUGACAGCAUCCUCAAUCCCAAUUAAGCAUCAUCAUUAAACAAAACCUAACAAAAUUAAUUUAGAGUAACAUGUUGAGAUUCACAUGAAAAUCCAGGUACUAGAUACUCAAGAUGUCCAUAACCGGGGACACGGCUAACCAUGAUUAGUCUAUUACACUCUGCAGAGGUUUGCGCACUUUUCCCCACAAGACUCGAUCGCCUCCGUUUGGUUUCUCGCACUACAUGGUGUUUGAGAAGACGGAUGACCGAGACAUAGUCUUUCAGAAGCGCUAGCACCUUACGAUCGGGUAGACCGUACCACCUACAUCCCCUACAUCUGCUAGUCUACCACUGUAAGAGUUCGCACGACUUAGUCAACUAUGCUAGAGCCCAUAAUAGCUUGUGGCUGCACACGGAAGUUUCUAGUAUGAAUAGUCUAAUGAUCCCUUUGAGCCUGGGUGGCGGUCCAAAAGAAAACAGGCAAGUCCUGGAAUACCCAGGUGCCUCAAUCCACCCAGAUGUGUGUUUAAGUUGCCACCUUAGAUAAACCAUUAAUUAACAAACUCACAUCUGUCAUGGAUAUCACUCACCCAAUCCACGUCUACAAGCAUAGCAUGACAGAAUAAGCAAACAUAGAAGUAACUCCCAAAGGUUUGAUAAUAAACAGGUAAUAGGUACUACCUCAACUACUUCCAAUCCCACAAUUUAAUUAGAUCCUAAUCAUGCAAUGUUUGAGGAUUGAUAUAAUGCAAUAAAACUGGGUAGUAGGAGGUAUGAUCAAAGUGUUACUUGCCUUGCUGAUGAUCCGGUAAACCUAGCGAUUCGAAGUAACAAGCGGCGCACUCCAGGUACUCUAUCGCAAACAAACAAACAAGCAUACAAUAAGUACUCAUCUAAUGCACAGGUAAAACUCAAAUAAGAGAUCUAACCAGAAGGUUCACUUUAAGAACUCCGGUUUGCAAAAAGAAUCAAAUCAAAUGAGGCAACGAAAGUCAAACGGUGAAAGAAAACAACUUCGUUCUACUAAUCUAGAUCUAAGGCAAAUUUUACAGUAGAAAAAACUUGUUUAAGUUGGUUAAACGGUUAGAGGGUUUCGAAACGAAUCUCCAGGCGCUUGAAUCACCUGAUUCCGAUAAACGAGCGAAAAGUUAUACUAAAACGAAAAUCGGAUCAGGAAUCGCAAUCCGAAAAAUCGCGUAUUAAAUCCGAGAAAAAGAAAAACGAUGAACGUUCGCUAGAACGAACAAACGCUCGCUAUUUAAAUAAAUCGGAAAAAACCGAUCUAUUAAAAAAACAAAUCUAAAAAAACCAACGGAAAAACCGAACGGUUUUUCGAAAAAAAACGGGUGCGGAAAUCGAGGCGGCGGCGGCGUCCGACGGCGGCGGCGGGGCGGCGGGUGGCGGCGGUCUAGGGUUUGGGGCACGUCGGGUGGGCUGUGGGGGUCGGGUCCCCCGGCUUAUAAAGCCUUCCCGGGCCGGUGUCCAGGUCGGACACGGCUCGUAGGUCGGUGCGAUUUUUUUUAAAUAAUUACGCAUGGAAGAAAAAUAAAAAGAAAUACUAAACGGACUCCAAAAAUCCCGAGAUAAAUUUUCCCGGGCUUCUAAAAUCAAGACGCACAAGGUGAACAUUUAUUUGGGGCCUAAAUGCAAUUUUGAAAAACGCACAUUUUUCCUAAAUUCAAAUAAAAUAACGAAAAACUCCGAAAUAAAAUCUUAUUUGAUUUUUUAUUAAAUUCUCAAUAUUUCUUUAUUUUGGGAAGUCAUUUUAUUCCCCCUCUCAUAUUUUUGUAAUAGAAAUAAUUGAUGAUAAAAUAAAUAAAAUCAAAUGAUCCUAUUCUCAAAAUUUGAGAAAAACUCAAAUAUGAAAAUAACGAAAUCCCCAACUCUCUCCGAGGGUCCUUGAGUUGCGUAGAAUUUCUAGGAUCAGCCAGAAAAGCAAUAAAAUAUGAUAUGCAAUGAUGAUCUAAUGUAUAACAUUCCAAAUUGAAAAUUUGGGAUGUUACAAACCUACCCCCUUAAGAUGAAUCUCGCCCUCGAGAUUCGGGUUGGCUUGAAAAUAGGUGAGGGUGGUCCUUGAGAAAAUCUUCCUCUCGUUCCCAGGUGGCUUCAUCCUCUGUGUGGUGGCUCCACUGAACUUUGCAAAACUUGAUAACCUUGCUGCGAGUGACUCAGCUGGCAAACUCGAGAAUCUUAAUUGGUUUCUCCUUGUAGGUCAAAUCGUUAUCCAACUGAAUUGUUUCCAAUGGCACCGUGUCUCUCAAAGGUAUGUCAGCCAUCUCAGCGUGACAUUUCUUCAACUGGGAAACAUGGAACACAUCAUGAACUCCUGACAAUCCUUCGGGCAAUUCCAACUUGUAGGCCACUUCUCCCAUACGCUCCAAAACUCGAUAUGGUCCUACAAAUCGUGGCGCUAAUUUUCCCUUAACUCUAAAACGCUUUGUUCCCUGAAGUGGAGAUACUCGAAGAUAAGCUCUAUCUCCAACUUCGUAAACCGUCUCCUUUCGUUUAGAAUCUGCAUAACUCUUCUGUCUGGACUGGGCUAUCUUGAGCCUGUCGCGAAUCAACUUCACCUUCUGUUCAGACUCUUUAAUCAAGUCAGGUCCAAACAACUGGCGAUCUCCAACUUCGUCCCACGACAAUGGUGUCCUGCACCUCCUUCCAUACAAAGCUUCGAAGGGGGCCAUCUUUAAACUGGUUUGGUAACUGUUGUUGUAAGAGAACUCUGCAUAUGGCAAAUUGUCGUCCCAACUAGAUCCGUAAUCUAGCGCACAAGCUCUCAACAUAUCCUUCAAAAUCCGAUUGACUCUCUCGGUCUGUCCAUCUGCCUGUGGAUGAAAAGCUGUACUGAAUUCUAGCCUGGUAACCAAAGUUUCAUGCAACUGCUUCCAGAACUUUGAGGUAAAUUGGGUUCCUCUAUCCGAUACGAUACUCCUCGGAACUUCAUGCAAACAUACAAUCCUGUUCAUGUAUAUCUUUGCCAACUUAGCACUGGUGUAAGUGGUCUUUACUGGGAUGAAAUGAGCUACCUUCGUCAAUCGAUCGACUACAACCCAAAUCGAGUCAUAGCCUGAACGAGUCCUGGGUAAUCCCGUGAUAAAAUCCAUGCCUAACUUAUCCCACUUCCAUUCGGGUAUCGGCAAUGGUUGUAGCAAUCUUGCUGGCUUAUGAUGCUCUGCUUUUACUCUCUGACAUACAUCACAAACUGCUACGCACUCCGCAAUAUCCUUCUUCAUUCCGGUCCACCAGAAAAUGUCUUUCAAAUCCAAAUACAUCUUGGUAUUUCCUGGGUGAAUCGAAUAUGGUGAAUCGUGUGCCUCUUGCAGAAUCAACUUCCCGAUCUCCGGGUCAUUGGGCACGUAAACACGAUCUUCAAACCAUAGGGUGUCGUGCUCAUCCUCAUGAAAUCCCUUAGCCUUUCCUUUGCUAAGUUUCUCCUUUAUAGAGGCAAUCUCCUUGUCAGUCCUUUGGGCUUCUCUGAUUUUUAUCCAUUAAUGUAGACUGAAUCUCCAAUGCUGCUACAUAGCCUCUCGGAACUAUUUCCAAACAUAGUUCACGAAGAUUUUCUGCUAACUCCCUUGGUAUUCCUCCCGUCAUUAAUGUAUUGACGUGGCUCGUAUGGCUUAAUGCGUUAGCUACUACAUUAGCCUUUCCGGGAUGGUAAUGCAAUCUCAUAUCAUAAUCUUUGAUGAGCUCCAACCAUCUCCUUUGUCUGAGGUUUAACUCCUUCUGCGUGAAAAAUGUACUUCAAACUCUUAUGAUCCAUGUACACCUCACAAUGAUUUUCAAUGAGGAAAUGUCUCCAUGUUUUCAAUGCAUUCACUACGGCUGCUAACUCCAAAUCAUGCGUAGCAUAAUUCAACUCAUGAGGCUUAAGCUGUCGUGAGGCAUACGAAACAACUCUCCCUUCCUGCAUCAGCACUGCUCCAAGUCCUCGACGUGAAGCGUCGCAAUACACCUCAUAAUCCUUGGUCUGAUCUGGUAAAAUCAACACUGGUGAGGUAACCAAACGUUUCUUCAACUCCUGAAAACUAGCCUCACAUUCCUCCAUCCAUAUGAACUUGGUAUCCUUCUUCAACAACUCCGUCAUAGGCUUCGCAAUCUUUGAGAAAUUCUCAAUAAACCUCCGGUAGUAUCCUGCGAGUCCAAGAAAACUACGGAUCUCUCCCACGGUGGUUGGUGCUUCCCACUUGGUUACGAUAUCAACUUUAGUGGGAUCUACUGCUAUACCUUCUCCGGAUAUAACGUGUCCGAGAAAUCCAACUUCCUUCAACCAAAACUCACAUUUGCUAAACUUGGCAUAUAAUUGAUGUUCUCUAAGCUUUCCAAGAGCCAAUCGCAAAUGUUCCUUAUGCUCUUCUUCAUUCUUCGAGUAAACCAGGAUAUCAUCAAUGAACACUAUGAUGAACUUAUCCAAAAAAUCCAUAAACACUUUGUUCAUCAUGUUCAUAAAAUAUGUGGGUGCGUUAGUCAGACCAAAUGACAUAACGGUAUACUCGUACAACCCAUACCUAGUGGUAAAAGCUGUCUUAGGAAUAUCUUGUUCUCUAAUCUUCAACUGGUGGUAUCCUGAUCGCAGAUCGAUCUUGGAAAAUACCUUAGCUCCUUGCAAUCGAUCAAACAGAUCAUUGAUCAUAGGUAGUGAGUACUUGUUCUUGAUUGUUACUUCAUUCAAUCCUCGAUAAUCGACAACCAUCCUUAACGAUCCAUCCUUCUUCUCCAUUAGAAGUACUGGCGAUCCCCAAGGCGAAGAACUUGGGCGAAUAUAUCCUUUAUCCACUAACUCCUUAAUCUGCUUCUUAAUUUCCACCAAAUCCUUUGCUGGCAUCCUAUAUGGUCUCUUUGAUAUUGGUCCUGUGCCUGGCAAUAGCUCAAUCAAAAACUCAAUAUCUCUAUCCGGUGGCAUGUCUGGCAAUUCUUCUGGAAAUACUUCAGGGAAAUCCCUUACCACUGGUACUUCCUCCUGCACAACUCCUGUUAAGAAAUUUACUUGAGUCCUCUUUGGCACAUGUCGGGAUACAUACUUGAUCCUUCUUCCUUCUGGUGUGGUAAGAAAAAUUGACUUACUAGCACAUUCAAUAUUCCCUUCAUACUUUGAUAACCAAUCCAUGCCUAAUAUCACACCCAAUCCUUGGGAUUCCAAUACUAUUAGGUCCGAGGGAAAAACAUAGUUACCAAUCCUUAAUGGUAACCGAUCACACCAUCGACUAGCCAUAUACUCUGCUCCAGGCGAGGUUACUAACAUGGGUGACCUAAGGGCUUGGGUUGAUAGGUUAUACUUAUCCACAAACCCCCUUGAGAUGUAUGAUUGCGAUGUGCCAGUAUCAAAAAGAACGAGUGCAGUAAAUGACUUAACCAAAAACUUACCUAUUACUGCAUCAGGCUGAGCUUCAACCUCCUCCACGCUAACGUGGUUCACCUGCCCCCUGUUGAAAGGGUUCGGCUUCUUCCCAGAGCUUCCAUUCCUAUUUCCAUUUUGUAAUUCAAGACAUUCAUUGGCAUAAUGUCCGGUCUUCGAACACUUAAAGCAAGUGACUUGGCUUAGGUCCUUCUUGGCUGGGGUUGAUGGGUUGGUUCGGUUCUGGCCGUUGCUUCCUCCAUUCCCAUUACCACUUUUGGUGCCAUUGUGAUCGUGCGAGCUACCUCCUCCAUGGGUAUGCUGAAAAUGUCCUCCCGGUCUAGGGGUAAAACGUGGCUUCUGCUGAGCUCCUGAAUUGUACUUCCCUUGUCCAUACUUCCUCUUACGAUUUUCAAUUUGCUGCUGCUUGCCUUCAAUCAUCAGAGCACGAUCUACCAACUCCUGAUAGUUGUUGAAUGUUGCUACUAUCAACUGCAUGCUCAACUCAUCAUUCAGUCCUUCCAGAAACUUCUCCUGCUUUGCUGCAUCCGUAGCAAUGUCAUCUGGGGCAUAACGUGCUAGUUCACUAAAUUCCUCCACAUACUGGCCAACUGUCCGUCCUCCUUGGCGCAAGUUGCGAAACUCACACUUCUUCAUGGCCAUAGCUCCUGCUGAAACAUGGGCAGUACGAAAAGCCUGCUGAAACUGGUCCCAUGUGACAGUGUCGACAGGGAAAGUGACUGUGAAAUUCUCCCACCAUGAUGCUGCGGGUCCUUCAAGCCGAUGUGCGGCAAACUUCACCUUCUCUGCAUCCGUGCAUCCUGCGGUGGUCAACUCUUUAGCUGUCUUGCGUAGCCAAUCAUCUGCUACUAUCAACUCGGUGCUACUGGAAAACACCGGAGGAUUCAGCCUAAGAAAACGGGCUAAGUGAUCAAUAGGUGGUGGUGGUGGUGGGUUGCUGUUGUUGUUCCCCUGAUUCUUAUUCUGGACUAGCAACUGCAUCAAUGUGUUCUGCUGCUGGAUCAACUGGGUGAGCUCCGAUGGAAAGGUAAAUCCGGGGUCACAUCUCGGAGGCAUCGGAGGGUUUAGAAAAGAUGAUAUUUAAGAAUAGAGGGGGUCUAAAGAGAAAACACUACCCAUAUGCACAUGAGGCAAAAGCAAACAAUUCACUUCAUUCAAUCAAACAAGGGCAUACAAUCGAGCUAACUAUCGCAAAGUGCUCGGACUACUAUAUUUACAUGGUGGACUACUACUACUGAUAAGGUGGUCUACUAGAAAUAUUCUUUGGUUGCAGACUCCAUGAUAUCUGCUCCAGCUUCAUCAACAUAAUCGUCAUCACUAUCAUAUGGAUCCGAAUCGGUGUCGUCGAUGAUGAUGUAGUCUUCCGGUCAAAUCUCCUUGGGUUCUUCGUCUUCAUCUACUGGUGUAGGGUCUCCCAUGAAUAUCUCGAUCUUCAUUGUUAGGUCGGCAUUCUUAUCCACCAAUACUUCAAUUUCCUCUUCAAUCUUCAGGUGUAGCCUUGAGUUCUUCCUCCAGUUCCUUGAUUCUAGUCUUAGCCUUCUUCAGAUCUAUCAUGUCGGUGCACAUCUGGUUCUCCUGUCGUCGAAUGUGCUGGUUUAACUCUUGGAUAAAAGCUACAAUUGAUCUAUCUUUCCUGGUGCUGAUCAUCUCCCAGUGCUCGUCUCGGCGCCCAAAAAUCUGGUAGAUAGUAUCCUUGAGAUCAUUGUGGUAGACUUCUCCAAUGCGUCCCAUGGCGAUGUGAGCUGCCAUGCUCUUUCCUAGACUCCAAGCUGGCGCAUCAAAAGAAAACUCCAUGGGCUCAGUGACUGGCAUGAACGUCCUUCCUGGAACUUGAACUUGAAUCAUCCGGCACUCUUCUUCAGGUAAAGUGGCGUUGUAGGUUCCGGUGAAGCUUGGUACUCCUAUGUUCAGGUAUCUAGUGACUUCCUUCAAGUAACGUCCAAAGGGUGUAUCUUCAUCCGGUUGCGUGAACUUGUUCCUUGCAUCCGCCAUCCUAAAAGAGUAGAAAAGAUGAGGAGUCAGAAGAGAAGAGGGUGAAUAGUGUUCUAGGUCUUUAGCUUAGUGGUCGUGUCCUACAGUCAGUGUGUGCUCUGAUAUCAUCUCUGUAGCGACCAGACCUCAAACAGUCUGAUCUCUAUGCUCCGGUGUCAUCCCUGGAUCAGUAAUGCUGACACCACACAGUACUCGGAGGAUUUAUAACAGAGUAGCAAUCACACACUUAUUACAUCGAGCAUCUCAAAAGAGAACUUAUUACAAUAAAUAUGGCUUAAGGCCAUCUAAUAACGAUAACAGCGGAAGGCUUGGAAGAUAAGUGAGUCCAUCAACUCCAACGGCAUCACUGAGUAUAGAACCAUGACCUAAAAACUCCUUAAUCGUCAUCUGAAAAGUCUGCAACAUUAAUGUUGCAGCCCGAAACGGGUCAACACAUGGAAUAUGCUGGCAAGGUAACACAUAGAGAAUAAUGGAAUGAAACAGCUAUACUAUAUGCAUAUUUGGCUAUUGGAAAGCUCUAUGGUUACAGUUUUACGUAAAGCCAAUUUUUCCCUACUUCAAAGGAAUAAAUUUAAUUACUAUCAUGGUGGUUGUUAAACAUUGAGAAUGGUUGACAGCAUCCUCAAUCCCAAUUAAGCAUCAUCAUUAAACAAAACCCAACAAAAUUAAUUUAGAGUAACAUGUUGAGAUUCACAUGAAAAUCCAGGUACUAGAUACUCAAGAUGUCCAUAACCGGGGACACGGCUAACCAUGAUUAUUUUAUUACACUCUGCAGAGGUUUGCGCACUUUUCCCCACAAGACUCGAUCACCUCCAUUUGGUUUCUCGCACUACAUGGUAUUUUAGAAGACGGAUGACCGAGACAUAGUCUUUCAGAAGCGCUAGCACCUUACGAUCGGGUAGACCAUACCACCUACAUGCCCUACAUCUGCUAGUCUACCACUGUAAGAGUUCGCACGACUUAGUCAACUAUGCUAGAGCCCAUAAUAGCUUGUGGCUGCACACGGAAGUUUCUAGUAUGAAUAGUCUAAUGAUCCCUUUGAGCGUGGGUGGCGGUCCAAAAGAAAACAGGCAAGUCUUGGAAUACCCAGGUGCCUCAAUCCACCCAGAUGUGUGUUUAAGUUUCCACCUUAGAUAAACCAUUAAUUAACAAACUCACAUCUGUCAUGGAUAUCACUCACCCAAUCCACGUCUACUAGCAUAGCAUGGCAGAAUAAGCAAAUGUAGAAGUAACUCCCAAAGGUUUGAUAAUAAACAGGUAAUAGGUACUACCUCAACUACUUCCCAUCCCACAAUUUAAUUAGAUCCUAAUCAUGCAAUGUUUGAGGAUUGAUCUAAUGCAAUAAAACUGGGUAGUAGGAGGUAUGAUCAAAGUGUUACUUGCCUUGCUGAUGAUCCGGGAAACCUAGCGAUUCGAAGUAACAAGCGGCGCACUCUGGGUACUCUAUCGCAAACAAACAAACAAGCAUACAAUAAGUACUCAUUUAAUGCGCAAGUAAAACUCAAAUAACAGAUCUAACUAGAAGGUUCACUUUAAGAACUCCGGUUUGCAAAAAGAAUCAAAUCAAACGAGGCAACGAAAGUCAAACGGCGAAAGAAAACAACUUCGUUCUACUAAUCUAGAUCUAAGGCAAAUUUUACAGUAGCAAAAACUUGUUUAAGUUGGUUAAACGGUUAGAGGGUUUCGAAACGAAACUCCAGGCGCUUGAAUCGCCUGAUUUCGAUAAACGAGCGAAAAGUUAUACUAAAACGAAAAUCGGAUCAAGAAUCGCGAUCAGAAAAAUCGCGGAUUAAAUCAAAAAAAAAGAAAAAUGACGAACGUUCGCUAGAACGAACGAACAGACGAACGCUCGCUAUUUAAAUAAAUUGGAAAAAACCGAUCUAUUAAACAAAUGAAUCUAAAAAAAACCAACGGAAAAACCGAACGGUUUUUCGAAAAAAAACAGGCGCUGAAAUCGAGGCGGCGGCAGACCUCGGGCGGCGUGCGGCGGCGGCGGCGGCGGGGCGGCGGGUGGCGGAGGGCUAGGGUUUGGGGCGCGUCGGGUGGGCUGUGGGGGUCGGGUCCCCCGGCUUAUAAAGCCUUCCCGGGCUGGUGUCUAGGUCGGACACGGCCCGUAGGUCGGUGCGAUUUUUUUUAAAUAAUUACGUGCGGAAGAAAAAUAAAAAGAAAUACUAAACGGACUCCAAAAAUCCCGAAAUAAAUUUUCCCGGUCUUUUAAAAUCAAGCCGCACAAGGUGAACAUUUAUUUGGGGGCCUAAAUGCAAUUUUGAAAAACGCACAUUUUUCCUAAAUUCAAAUAAAAUAACGAAAAACUCCGAAAUAAAAUCUUAUUUGAUUUUUUAUUAAAUCCUCAAUAUUUCUUUAUUUUGGGAAGUCAUUUUAUUCCCUCUCUCAUAUUUUUGUAAUAGAAAUAAUUGAUGAUAAAAUAAAUAAAACCAAAUGAUCCUAUUCUCAAAAUUUGAGAAAAACUGAAAUAUGAAAAUAACGAAAUCCCCAACUCUCUCCGAGGGUCCUUGAGUUGCGUAGAAUUCCUAGGAUCAACCAGAAAAGCAAUAAAAUAUGAUAUGCAAUGAUGAUCUAAUGUAUAACAUUCCAAAUUGAAAUUUUGGGAUGUUACAAGUAUCUAGGUGACAUUAGGGUUUUGGUUGAUUUGUGUCUUAAGGUGUUAUUCUAGUACGAACUCUAGGGCUGUUUGUGACACUUAUAGGAAUAGCCCAACAGAUUGAUUGGAAAGAAUAACUUUGAGGUGGUUUCGUACCCUACCAUAAUCUCUUCGUUCGUUCUCCGCUAUUAGUGACUUUGGAGUGACUCUUUGUUGCAUGUUGAGGGGUAGUUAUGUGAUCCAAUUAUGUUAGUAUUGUUGAGGGAACUUACACUAGCGAAAGUAUGAACCCUAGGCCUUAUUUCCUAUCAUUGCAAUACCGUUUACGCUCACUUUUAUUAUUAGUUACCUUGCUGUUUUUAUAUUUUCAGAUUACAAAAACUAUUAUAUACUAUCCAUAUACCACCUGUAUCACCAUCUCUUCGCCGAACUAGUGCACCUAUACAAUUUACCAUUGUAUUGGGUGUGUUGGGGACACAAGAGACUCUUUGUUAUUUGGUUACAGGGUUGCUUGAGAGAGACCAUCUUCAUCCUACACCUCCUACGGAUUGAUAAACCUUAGGUCAUCCACUUGAGGGAAAUUUGCUACUGUCCUACAAACCUCUGCACUUGGAGGCCCAACAACGUCUACAAGAAGAAGAUUGUGUAGUAGACACCACAGCCCUACCUAGGCACAAGAGAGAGGUCAGCACGUCGGUCUAAAUUCUAUGGCGCAGGGGUCUGGGCCCAUCGCCCAUUGCACACCCGCACGUUGCGUACGUGGCCGGUGAGCAGACCUAGCCUCCCUUAUACAAGAGCAGGUGUUCUAGUCCAACCCGGCGGGCGCCGCUUAGUCGCUGACGUCACAAAGGCUUCGGCUGAUACCACGAUGUCGAGUGCCCAUAACUGUUCCCGCGUAGUUGGUUAGUGCAUAUAGAUCAGUAGCCAGACUCAGAUCAAAUACCCAGAUCUCGUUAAGUGUGUUAUUUUGAAGUAACCGCGAACGCCGACCAGGGCCAGGCCCACCUCUCGCCUAGGUGGUCUUCGCCUGCCCUGUCGCCCCGCCUCAAAGUAACAGUCGGGGGCCGUCGAGAACCUAGGCCCACCACUACCUGGGUGGAACCACCUUCCCCUUCAGCCCCCAACAUCGGAAUCACUUGCGGGUACUCAACGAGCCAACCCGACUUUAGACACAACAUGUAUAGUAUGUAUGUAUAGCAUAUACCCGUGAUCAACACCAGACGUGAUCACGACCUGAUAGUAUAGCAUGGCAGACUGACAAGACCGUAGGGCCACUGAUGAUAAUCUAGCAUCCUAUACUAAGCAUUUAGGAUUGCAGGUAAGGUAUCAACAGUUGUAGCAACAAUGACAGGCUAUGCAACAGAAUAGGAUUAACGGAAAGCAGCAGCAUGCUACACUACUCUAAUGCAAGCAGUAGAGAAGAAUAGGCGAUAUCUGGUGAUCAAGGGGGAGGGGCUUGCCUGGUUGCUCUGGCAAGAAGGAGGGGUCAUCUUCGAUGUAGUGGAACACACGGACAUCGGCAGCGGUCUCGGAGUCUACCGGAAAUAAGUAACGGAGGGGGAACACAAUAAAUAACAGUAGGCCCAGUUGACUGCUUAGUCAGCAGUUAACUAUGGACCGGUUGACUGGUCAAACUGACCAUAGGGGCCCAUCAGUCUUUGACUAUUACUUAAUAGGUUUUAAUUAACAAGGGGUCCCACUUGUCAUACACAGUGAGUAAACUGACAUGGCCAUUUAUUUUAAUUAAUUGUGCGGGGCCCGCGGGUAAGUGGGUCAGUGGGGUAGGGUUAGUGUAAAAGUGGGGGAUUAGCCCCCCACUAAUGAACAGGGGGCCGGCUGGCCAGCCGCACACGGCUAGCAAAGGCCAUGGCCGAGGCGGCGAGCACGCAGGGAGGCGCGUCGGAGCGGCGACGGGCGUGGCCAGCGUGAGCGACGGCCGACGAGCGGGCAGGGGCGCGGGGGUGGGGGAGGGGGGGCUGAGGCGGAGGCGGGGUGCGGCAGCGGCAAAUGAGGCCAUAUGCGAGCGGGCGCAUAUGGUCGCCGACGGCCAUGGCUGGAGGCACGCCCGGGCGACCGAGGAAAGGAGCCAGCAGGAUGUGGCGUGGGCGCGGCCGACGAGUCGGCAGCAGACCCGGGGCAUGCCCCGGGCAUGGCCGGCGAGCCCGGGCAAGCGCAGCGCGGGCGACGACAGCAAGCAGCGGCGGACGAGCAUGGCCAGCAGCGCACAGGAGCGAGGGUACGCGGGCGGCGCGGUGCAGGGCUUGGCCGGAGCCCUCGCAAGCGCGGCGUGCGGCCAGGGAGGUGGCUGGAGCGGCAACAUCAUCGAUGACUGAGCGGCGGCGGCAGCGGGCAAAGCCACAACGGGGCAGUGCCUCGGUGUUGAGGCCCUGGCGGGAAGCAGGGUCGAAUGAGUGCGGGCGGUAGCGGUCGUGCGUGGGUGCGCACGGGGCGUCCAAGAUGCCGGCGGUAGCGCGGGCAGGGGCAUGGCGACCGCGAGCACGAGUGCGGGACGGGCGCGGCCACGGGGAACGACGAACUACGGCGCGACAACAAGGGAAAACGAGGGGGAGAGAGGGUUUUGGUAGAGGAGCUCACAACGGUGUCGCCGGUGAGCUCGAGGUGGCCGAGGACUGGACGGAACUAGGCGAAUCAACGACGAGAUGGUGACGUCCGUGACGGAGAAGAGCUCGAUGGUGAGGCUUGGAGCGGUCCUAGCUUGAACGGGUGCACGGGAUGGACGAAGACGAUAGAUGCGGAUCUCCUGAACGUCUUCCCACGCGAAGACGACGAUGGUGAGCACGGGGACGGGGAGGUCCGUGGUGGCGGCGACUCUGUUGCAUGCGGGAUAGAGGAGGGGGAGCAAGGGGAAGAGGAGNNNNNNNNNNNNNNNNNNNNNNNNNNNNNNNNNNNNNNNNNNNNNNNNNNNNNNNNNNNNNNNNNNNNNNNNNNNNNNNNNNNNNNNNNNNNNNNNNNNNNNNNNNNNNNNNNNNNNNNNNNNNNNNNNNNNNNNNNNNNNNNNNNNNNNNNNNNNNNNNNNNNNNNNNNNNNNNNNNNNNNNNNNNNNNNNNNNNNNNNNNNNNNNNNNNNNNNNNNNNNNNNNNNNNNNNNNNNNNNNNNNNNNNNNNNNNNNNNNGAUGUAGGGGACAAAGGGGGGCGUGGGAUGGCCGACACGCGCCAUGGCGCGGCCAUGGCCGGUUGGAUGCCCUCCAUGAUCCUUUGUCUCCUAUAGGAGGAAGGAGAGGUGGAGGUGGGUUGGUCCUGGUGCUGUGCACUUGGGCCUCAAGUGCACAAUGCCAGGUUUUGCCUCUUUUUUUAUAUUACUCUUGUUUCUCUUUCAUUUAUUUAGUUAUGUUUUCUAAUUCUUUUCAAAUGAUUUUAGCUUUAUGAAAUACAAAACUUGCACCACAAUUUGUGAUAUAUAUUAGGCCACUGCCACAGUAAGUUUGGUACUCAAAUAAAAUAUCUUGAAAUUUCUUAUAAUUUAAAAAGCAUUUAAAAUAUUGAUUUGGUCCUAGUUUUAAUAAUUUUAGGGCACUUAAACACUUUAUAAAUUGUUGGUUGCCAUCUGUUAAAUAGUUAGUGCAUAAUUGUAACCCUUUGAACAUUUUUAAUUCUUUGAUUUACGAAAACUAUAAUUUGACUUGUUAUUUGAAUUUGUAUUUGGACUAAGUUUGAAGCAAAUGAGUUUAGCAAAAUUUUAGCUAUGAUGACCUGGCAUCGUUAAUAGAGGUUUACUGUAACUUAACUAUCAGGGUGUCACAAAUCUCCUCUACUACAAGAAAUCCCGUCCCGAGAUUUAAGAGGUAGAGUGAGGGGAAAAAGAUUUGGUUUCAAAAUUCUAACAAAUCUUCUCCAUCUUGGUUGCUCUUCUCGAAGAGGUCGAUCCAUUACAUUGAUGCCUUCAUUCCUCUGUUUCAACCCUUCAUGAUGAAGUAGUCAUCCUUGUUCGGAAGUUCCCUCGUACUUACGAAAAUGUUAAGGGGUAUCUUCGGAAGAACUGAGCACUACAAUGUUGCUUAUCGGGUAGAUAACAUCAGGGAAGGUGGCGAAAAGUAACUCUCAAAUUGAAACUUAAGAAGAUAUCGAGAGCAAAGUUAGAAGGUACCAUGAUAAGUUUCAAACGGAUAGGCAAUCGUUCGAUGUCGGAAACAAGGUGUGAAAGGGGCUCAGAGCAUUAAGAAUAAGUAGUGCAUCUGAUACCAUAAUAGAUCACUAGGAAUGUGGCUUGUGAAUUGCAUACAAAGCCACGCACGAGGAAUAACUUUGGGUACAGGGGGUGUACAUGAGAGUUAGGUUUCGUUCCUGUGGAACUAUGGGUUAUGGGCCCACCAUGUGGGUUAAAAGUAGGAAGGGUGGUGACAUCUUGCGUGAUCAUGUAAUCAAGGCAUGUCAGAAUUGCCUGUCAUUUAUGUCGGCAACAACAUCGGUACCAAGGGCGAGGGACGAAGAGAACCAUUUUCCUGCUCGUCAAAACAAGGCGGACCAAUAGGCUAAGUUCUCGUCCAUCGGUGGUUACCGGAAUAUCAUCAACAAUAGUAACAGGGUCUUACUGACCGAGUUGUACACCAUGGUGUUUACAUAAGCAGGAGAAUAUUACUGCUUAGAUCAUAUAGAUCACCAAUAAGGUUAAACAAAACAAUGAAAAGGAAAAGGUGAUCAUCAGAUUUAAACAUAAAAAUGGAAAGGAAAAUGUGUUUAAACACAUAUUUCAGGGAUAUAUCCUUCCCAAGGGCAAGCAGAGCAUGAUAUCCAUGACAUGAUAUAAUGUAGAAAACUCUUUAGGUAUAGGGAGAGAAAUUCCCUGACAUUACCCAUACAAUGGUGUUUGGAUAAUUGAGCAGGAAACAGUUAGCAUUGGGCUUCAAAUGUUCUUGUUCAAAAUCGGAGUAUCAUAGACAUGCUUUGAGAUAGCAUUAGCAUGGUCUUUAGGUGAAGAUCAGACUUUAGAAACACAAAGGAUCCAUCAGGAACGGCUUGUAGAAUAAGUCUUACAAUUUCCUCAUGGAAGAAAGGAUAGCCUUGCUAAAAAGGAAACAGUAGCAAUAGGUCCUUCGGCCAUGUGUGCUAGGCAUGAUAUCACCUUACCAGGUCAUAUAAAGAUGUUAUAACUCCUGUAAGUAUGUUCCAACCAUCAUAUCUGACCGAGAUUCAGAUCCGAUUGGUGUCAGGAUACCUCAGACUCAAGAUGCAUGAGAAGAAAAGGUGCAACACAAAUUGACGAGAUGACAUUGUAAGAUCCUCGGGAACUGAACUACGGAAGCGAGUUCCAAAACAAGAGUUCGUCAUUAAAUGAAGGAGGGGUGAGGGGGUGGCUGAUUGACUCAGCGACAAUUCAUUGAGACUUGCAAAAGAUGGAUUUCCACACUUAUGUGAACAAGGGGAUAACAUUUCCCGGAUCAAAUGAUAUAAUGAUGUAUGUUAGAGGAAAAACAUACACAAUUAAACAUUGGCUGAAAGGUGCACCCGAAAUAUGGGCUUAGGUAGUACGAUCCAUGUUAUAAUGGUGAUUCGAUAAUCAAUGGCCUAAGGAUGUUUGACCAUUAACUCCAAAGCAAUAGGGUUGAUAGAAGGGCAGAAUCCAAACAACACCAUUCACCUGUUGAUAUCCCGGUUAGAAACAACACAAGAAAGAAUGGUGAUGGUGAGAAGUAUCACUAUACCAAGAAUUCUUAAGAGGUGGAGCAAUUCUCACAACAUUCUUGACAUAAAAUAUGGUAAUACUCCAAGGUAAAGAACAUAUGCUGGAUAGCAAGGGACUCAAGAUUCAAUCCAAAACAUGAACACAUUUGUGUUGAGGGAAGACAAGGAUGUUGUCGAUGAUAACACAAUUCAUCAAGGGGCAAGGAUGGUAUUUCUCACCAUGAAUUCGAUCGAUAUCUUGGAAGACCUCAGAAUAUUGAUGAUGAUCACAACACAGUUGUCGAGAGGUUUCAAGAAGAUGUAACCGAUCAGCGAUGACAUCAAGUCAAAGGAAUGAUGAAGCGAAAAAUUAUUGGAACCACGAGUACGACACAAACUCGAAAUCAAGCUUGUUGUUCAAGGCGAAAUGAUAUGACGAGGAAAAUCGACGUAAGCUUAGCUCAUCGUCGGAAGUGGUGCUCCGGGGAUAAGGACCAGGUAGCACAGUUAAAAAUUAGCCCAAUAAUGGUAUAGCCGAUCAGGCUAUGAAUGACGUGGAGGAUUAUUAAACUCAUAAGCAACGGAAAUUAAUUAGGGUUAUCGAACCGGAAUGCGGAAUAGGUUCACAUAUCGGUGUUCUCGGUUGACGACAACCCAGAACCCAGAAAAAUUGAAAUCGGUGAGAAAUAACAGUUGAUGAAGAGCCCAUAGGAAGUUAUGCAGUUCCAUGACAUUAUCAAGAUAUCAUAGUGUAAUACUCAAUGGUAGAUCAAAGUAAAGGUUGGACAGGUGCAAUGAUCUGCAUAAGACAAGUACUUUAACUUGUUCGAUAAAUGGUAUUAAUGAGAAAAUAUGGUUGGAACCAUGAUUGCAAAUGACCAAACAUAGAUACAGGACAAACUUAUAACAAGGGGAUUAUUAUCAUUUACAAGAAGCUUCGAUGAUAAGUUUCACAUUGGGUCCAUGGGCAUGAAUGCAAAGGCUCAAGGUCAACUCCCACUUCUUCCAUGCAUAACCUUUCAUUUUACUUCUCGCUUUUGAUGAAGCUGUAGUGUAGAAAUUUUAUCUAGCAAAAUACCAGAAGAGUAUGACUCGUGAAAACCUUCGAGUUCACACAUAAUAAGGAAGGCAUAGGUUCAACCCAUCAGGGUAUCAUGGAAACAUAUACCACAAGCUUCAAUAGUAAAUACCACCAGCUCGAAAACAGAGCAUGGUUGAGAAAGCAGAGGAUACAAUUUACCAAAGGCUUUAUAUAUCCGUGGAAAGGCUCACAAGGUUACUUGAAUAUGAAGGACACUGUCGGAUAAAAUCCAACAAAGGAUCUGGUGGUCCAUAAGGGAUCUGAUGUGAGUAUUGGUACCCAACCAGAAGAAAAAGAAUGCAACGAGAUCAGAAGAUAGAAGCAACUGACUAACUCAAAGCUCAAUUGCAAAGGAAUUAUGAAUUCCAAGUCAAGGGAUCAGAAGCAAUGCUCUGAUUUGGGAUGGAUAAGUCGAAUAGCCGUAAGGGUGCAAUCGACAGCAAUUUGAUUGGUCGAGAGCCAGCUCCUGUUCAAAAUGACGUCUGAUCUGCAAGGAUGAAUUCUAGGAUUUGAUUGAGUAUUGCGAGCAUUCGCAACUUAUUGAAUCAAUGGACUCAAAAUGAUAGUGACAAAGAAUGUCAAUAAGAUUACUAGACUUAUGGGAUUAACCAUAAUGCAAGCAAGCAAGAAUUUCAAGAGCAAUAGGUUGUUGAGGAUUUUUGGAAGAUUGAGUGGUAUUUCGAAGACUUCUAUGAAAUACAUGAAUACUGGGAAUGAGCGGAUACUCGGUAAGUGCGAGAAAUUAUCCAUAGGGGUAUUCAGGUUGCAAGAACUGCAAGGCAGUAAGAACAAAGUAUUCUCAAAACAAUAAAAAGAAUUUUAGGGUAUCUUGUAAUAACAAGAUCAACAGGGAAUGAUUGUAUGAAUGGAAAGUGUAUGUGGUUAUCCAUAGGGUUUAUCGAUGGAAUGGAAUUGCAAAAGCGAUGGAACCAAGUCUCGGGAGAAUAUCUGAGAGUAUUGUCAGAAUCUUCUGUUGAAGCAUUCGAUCGUUCAGACCGAGGGGCUCUCCGGGAGAAAGUAUUUACGAGAACCUAGAGUUAGAGUUAGCAAAUCAUUUAACCCGAAUAGGAGAGAGAUCAGAGUCCCAGAGUAUAUACGGGGAGUAAAAGAUACUAAUACCACCCAAUGGCGACGUGGGCCCAUGGGCCGCACAACCAAGUUAGUAAAACAAUUUUCAUCGACUAGACUCAACUUUGGCCAAGGAGUGUGGAAGGGGGAUUCCUACAGGCAGUCGGGUCUGAUACCAACUUGUGACGCCCCCGAUUCAAUCGUACACUAAUCAUACACGUAAACGUGUGCGAUCAAGAUCAGAGACUCACGAGAAGAUAUCACAACACAACUCUACAAAUAAAAUAAGUCAUACAAGCAUCAUAUUACAAGCCAGGGGCCUCGAGGGCUCGAAUACAAGAGCUCGAUCAUAGAUGAGUUAGUGGAAACAAAAAUAUCUGAGUACAGACAUAAGUUAAACAAGUUUUCCUUAAGAAGGCUAGCACAAACUGGGAUACAAAUCGAAAGAGGCGUAGGCCUCGUGCCUGGGAUCCUCCUAAACUACUCCUGGUUGUCGUUAGCGGCCUGCACGUAGUUGUAGGCACCUCCAGUGUAGUAGGAGUCGUCGUUAACGGUGGCGUCUUGCUCCUGGACUCCAACGUCUGGUCGCAUCAAUCGGGUGUAGAAAGAGGGAAAAGGGGGAGGAAAGCAACCGUGAGUAGUCAUCCAAAGUACUCGCAAGCAAGGAGCUACACUACAUAUGUAUGCAUUGGUAUCAAAUGGAAAAGGGGGUAACAUAUGUGGACUGAACUGCAGAAUGCCAGAAUAAGAGGGGGACAGCUAGUCCUAUCGAAGACUACACUUCUGGCUACCUCCAUCUUGCAGCAUGUAGAGGAGAGUAGAUGGUAAGUUCACCAAGUAGCAUCGCAUAGCAUAAUCCUAACCGAUGAUCCUCCCCUCGUCGCCCUGUGAGAGAGCGAUCACCAGUUGUAUCUGGCACUUGGAAGGGUGUGUUUUAUUAAGUAUCCGGUUCUAGUUGUCAUAAGGUCAAGGUACAACUCCAAGUCGUCCUGUUACCGAAGAUCACAGCUAUUCAAAUAGAUUAACUUCCCUGCAGGGGUGCACCACAUUUCCCAACAUGCUCGAUCCCCUUUGUCCGGACACACUUGUCUAGGUCAUGCCCGACCUCGGAAGAUCAACACGUUGCAGCCCUACCUAGGCACAACAGAGAGGUCAGCACACCGGUCUAAAUCCUAUGGCGCAGGGGUCUGGGCCCAUUGCCCAUUGCACACCUGCACGUUGCGUACGCGGUCGGUGAGCAGACCUAGCCUCCCUUAUACAAGAGCAGGCGUUCCAGUCCAACCCGGCGCGCGCCGCUCAGUCGCUAACGUCACGAAGGCUUCGGCUGAUACCACGACGUCGAGUGCCCAUAACUGUUCCCACGUAGUUGGUUAGUGCGUAUAGGCCAGUAGCCAGACUCAGAUCAAAUACCUAGAUCUCGUGGAGCGUGUUAUUUUGAAGUAACCGCGAACGCCGACCAAGGCCAAGCCCACCUCUCACCUAGGUGGUCUCCGCCUGCCCUGUUGCUCCGCCUCAAAGUAAUAGUCGGGGGCCGUCGGUAACCUAGGCCCACCACUACCUGGGUGGAACCACCUGCCCCUUCAGCCCCCAACAUCAGAAUCACUUGCGGGUACUCAACGAGCCGACCCGACUUUAGACACAACAUGUAUAGUAUGUAUGUAUAGCAUAUACCCGUGAUCAACACCGGACGUGAUCACGGCCCGAUAGUAUAGCAUGGCAGACUGACAAGAAUGUAUGGCCACUGGUGAUAAUAUAGCAUCCUAUACUAAGCAUUUAGGAUUGCAGGUAAGGUAUCAACAGUUGUAGCAACAAUGACAGGCUAUGCAACAGAAUAGGAUUAAUGAAAAGCAGUAGCAUGCUACACUACUCUAAUGCAAGCAGUAGAGAAGAAUAGGCGAUAUCUGGUGAUCAAGGGGGGGGGGGGCUUGCCUGGUUGCUCUGGCAAGAAGGAGGGGUCAUCUUCGAUGUAGUGGAACACACACACAUCGGCAGCGGUCUCGGAGUCUACCGGAAAUAAGUAACGGAGGGGGAACAUAGUAAAUAACAGAGUAAUCAAAUGUAACACAAAGCAAGAUGGGGCAAUACGUUGUGCUAGGGUGACCUAACGUAGGGACAGGUGAUACCGGUGAACGGGGGAAACAUCUGAGAAAGUAUUCCCGGUGUUUCGUGUUUUCGGACAGCCAAACCGGAGGGGGAAAGUUGUGUGUUCGCUAUGCUAGGGAUGUGUGGUGGACGAACAGGCAGCGUAUUCGGAUUCGUCUCGUCGUUCUGAGCAACUUUCAUAUAUAAAACUUUUUCAUCGGAGUUACGGUUUAUUUUAUAUGAUUUAUUGAAGUUUUAAAUGAUUUUUCAAAAUUUUCUGGAAUUAAUAUUAUUUCGAAUUAAAAGAAUAAAAUGUUAUGGGUACAUAGAGAGUGUACCCAAAGAGGUGCAUAUGUGGCUGACAGUGGGCCCAGUUGACUGCUUAGUCAGCAGUCAAUUGUGGACCAGUUGACUGGUCAAACUGAGCAUGGGGGCCCAUCAGUCUUUGACUAUUACUUAAUAGGAUUUAAUUAAAAGGGUAUAAUUAACAAGGGGUCCCACUUGUCAUACACAGUGACUAAACUGACAUGGCCAUUUAUUUAAUUAAUCGUGCAGGGCCUGCUGGUAAGUGGGUCAGUGGGGUAGGGUUAGUGUAAAAGUGGGGGAUUAGCCCCCCACUAAUGAACAGGGGGCCGGCUGGCCAGUAGCACACGACCAGCAAAGGCCAUAGUCGAGGCGGCGAGCACGCAGGAAGGCGCGUCGGAGCGGCGACGGGCAUGGCCAGNNNNNNNNNNNNNNNNNNNNNNNNNNNNNNNNNNNNNNNNNNNNNNNNNNNNNNNNNNNNNNNNNNNNNNNNNNNNNNNNNNNUGCGGGCGAGCGCAUAUGGUCGCCGGCGGCGACGGCUGGAGGCACGCUUGGGCGACCGAGGAAAGGAGCCAGCAGGCUGUGGCGAGGGCGCGGCCGACGAGUCGGCGGCAGACCCAGGGCAUGCCCCAGGCAUGGCUGGCGAGCCCGGGCAAGCGCAGCGCGGGCGACAGCAGCAAGAAGCGGUGGACGAGCAUGGCCGGCAGCGCACAAGAGCGAGGGUACGCGGGCGGCGCGGUGCAGGGCUUGGCCGGAGCCCUCGCAGGCGCGACAUGCGGCCAGGGAGGUGGCUGGAGCGCCAGGAGGAUCGAUGCCUGAGCGGCGGCAGCAGCGGGCAAAGCCACAACGGGGCAGCGCCUCGGUGUCGAGGCCCUGGAGGGAAGCAGGGUCGAGUGAGUGCGGGCGGAAGUGGUCGUGCAUGGGUGCGCACGAGGCGUCCAAGAUGCCGGCGGGAGCGUGGGCAGGGGCAUGUCGACCACGAGCACGAGCGCGGGGCAGGAGAGGCCACGAGGAAUGACGAACUAUGGCGCGACAGCAAGGGAAAACGAGGGGGAGAGGGUUUUGGUAGAGGAGCUCACAACGGUGUCGCCGGUGAGCUCGAGAUGGCCGAGGACUAGACGGAGCUAGGCGAAUCGACGGCGAGUUGGUGACGUCCGCGACGGAGAAGAGCUUGAUGGUGAGGCUUGGAGCGGUCCUAGCUUGAACGGGUGCACGAGAUGGACGAAGACGAUAGAUGCGGAUCUCCUGAACGUCUUCCCACGCGAAGACGACGAUGGUGAGUGCGGGGAAGGGGAGGUCCGGGGCGGCGGCGGCUCUGUUGCACGCGGGAUAGAGGAGGGGGAGCAAGGGGAAGAGGAGAGGGGCAGAUAGGGUUCACAGGGGGGGUUUGAGGGCGCCUUGUAGAUGUAGGGGACGAAGGGGGGCGCGGGAUGGCCGACACGCGCCAUGGCGCGGCCAUGGCCGGUUGGAUGCCCUCCACGAUCCCUUGUCUCCUAUAGGAGGAAGGAGAGGUGGAGGUGGGUUGGACCUGGUGCUGUGCACUUGGGCCUCAAGUGCACAGUGCCAGGUUUUGCCUCUUUUUUUAUAUUACUCUUGUUUCUUUUUAUUUAUUUAGUUAUGUUUUGUAAUUCUUUUCAAAUGAUUUUAGCUUUAUGAAAUACAAAACUUGCACCACAAUUUGUGAUAUAUAUAUAUUAGGCCACUGCCACAGUAAGUUUGGUACUCAAAUAAAAUAUCUUGAAAUUUCUUAUAAUUUAAAAAGCAUUUAAAAUAUUGAUUUGGUCCUAGUUUUAAUUAUUUUAGGGCACUUAAACACUUCAUAAAUUGUUGGUUGUCGUUUGUUAAAUAGUUAGUGCAUAAUUGUAACCCUUUGAACAUUUUUAAUUCUUUGAUUUACGAAAACUAUAAUUUGACUUGUUAUUUGAAUUUGUAUUUCGAAUAAGUUUGAAGCAAAUGAGUUUAGCAAAAUUUUAACUAUGAUGACCUGGCAUCAUUAACAGAGGUUUACUGUAACUUAAUUAUCGGGGUGUCACACUGCACCCCCAACCGAUAGUAUCAUACACUGCUCUCAUAUGCCACUUUAUUUACUUACUUGUGUAUAAUCCCAACACAUAGUUAUGGCUAGCAUUCAUUUCUUAUUAAUUUUCUCGAUUGACAUGCUAUGGUUCCAUGUCAUAUCAUUGUUUUGCUUUAAAGAAAUGCAUGAUACUCAUCUGAUGCUCACCCUGUGAGAGGUCGUACCAUCCUGAACCUUUGUGUGUUUAGCUCUGCCCCUCGCAUGAAGUGCUUAUGGAAGCGAUGUUGGCAUCGACCGCGCCUAGGUGUAACAACCCUACUUAAUGGUAAUGUAUAUUAGAGUUAACAGAUAAGCAUUGCAUUUCAUCAUGUCUACUUCCCUUUAAUGUGAAAUUGAGGAUAAUUUAGAACAUGUUGUUUAAAGGGCUUAAACCCUACCACCUUUGCAACGUACCCAAUGAAGGAAAUAUGCCCUAGAGGCAAUAAUAAAGUUGUUAUUUAUAUUUUCUUAUAUCAUGAUAAAUGUUUAUUAUUCAUGCUAGAAUUGUAUUAAACGGAAACUUAGUACAUGUGUGAAUACAUAGACAAACAGAGUGUCCCUAGUAUGCCUCUACUUGACUAGCUCGUUAAUCAAAGAUGGUUAAGUUUCCACACCAUAGACAUGUGUUGUCAUUUGAUGAAUGGGAUAACAUCAUUAGAGAAUGAUGUGAUGGACAAGACUCAUCCAUUAGCUUAGCAUUAUGAUCGUUUAGUUUUAUUGCUAUUGCUUUCUUCAUAACUUAUACAUGAAAUUAUGCAACUCCCGAAUACCGGAAGAACACAUUGUGUGCUAUCAAUCGUCACAACAUAACUGGGUGAUUAUAAAGUUGCUCUACAAGUGUCAAAGAUGGUGUUUGUUGAGUUGGCAUAGAUCGAGAUUAGGGUUUGUCACUCCAUGUAUCAGAGAGGUAUCUCUGGGCCCUCUUGGUAAUGCACAUCACUAUGAGCCUUGUAAGCAAUGUGACUAAUGAGUUAGUUAUAGGAUGAUGCAUUAUGGAACGACUAAAGAGACUUGCCGGUAACGAGAUUGAACUAGGUAUGAUGAUACCAACGAUCGAAUCUCGGGCAAGUAACAUACUGAUGACAAAGGGAAUGCCGCAUGUUGUUAUGCGGUUUGACCGAUAAAUAUCUUUGUAGAAUAUGUAGGAACCAAUAGGAGCAUCCAGGUUCUACUAUUGGUUAUUGACCGGAGAUGUGUCUCAGUCAUGUCUACAUAGUUCUCAAACCCGUAGGGUCCGCACGCUUAACGUUCGAUGAUGAUUCGUAUUAUGAGUUAUGUGUUUUGGUGACCGAAGUUUGUUCAGAGUCCCGGAUGAGAUCACAGACAUGACGAGGAGUCUCGAAAUGGCCGAGAGGGAAAGAUUCAUACAUUGGAAGGUUAUAUACGGACACUGGAAUGGUUCCGAAGAAGUUCAGAGAAUUUUCAGAAUACCGGGAGGUUACCGGACCCCCCCGGAAAGUUAAUGGGCCUCUUGGGCCAUAUUGGAGAGAGGGAGGAAGGCCACAAGAGGAGGCGCGAGCCUCCCCCUGCCCAAUCCGAAUUGGACAAGGGGUGGGGGCGCCCCCCUUUCCUUGUCCAUCUCCCCUUUUUUCCCUUUCCCCUCUCCGUUGGAAGGAAGGGGGGGAUCCUACUAGGAGUGGAGUCCUAGUAGGACCCCCCCAUGGCGCGCCACCCCUUGGGCCGGCCACCACCUCCACCCCUCCUUUAUAUACGGGGGCGGGGGCACCCCAAAGGCACAACAAUUGUUCUCUUAGCCGUGUGCGGUGCCCCCCUCCACAGUUUACUCCUCCGGUCAUAGCAUCAUAGUGCUUAGGCGAAGCCCUGGCGGAUCACAUCACUAUCACCGUCACCACGCCGUCGGGCUAAUGGAACUCUCCCUCGACCCUCUGCUAGAUCAAGAGUUCGAGGGACGUCAUCGAGCUGAACGUGUGCUGAACACGAAGGUGCCGUACGUUCGUUACUUGGAUCGGUAGGAUCGUGAAGACGUUUGACUACAUCAACCGCGUUAACCUAACGCUUCCGCUUUCGGUCUACGAGGGUACGUGGACACACUCUCCCCCUCUCAUUGCUAUGUAUCUCCUAGAUAGAUCUUGCAUGAUCGUAGGAUUUCUUUUGAAAUCACAUGCUAUGUUCCCCAACAGUGGCAUCCGAGCCAGGUCUAUGCGUAGAUGAUAUGCACGAGUAGAACACAAAGAGUUGUGGGCGAUAAUAGUCAUACUGCUUACCACCAACGUCUUACUUUGAUUCGGCUGUAUUGUUGGAUGAAGCGGCUCGGACCAACAUUACAUGACCAUGUUCAUGAGACCGGUUCUACCGACGUGCUUUGCACACAGGUGGCUGGCAGGAGUCUGUUUCUCCAACUUUAGUUGAAUCGAGUUUGACUAUGGCCGGUCCUUGUUGAAGGUUAAAAAAUCACACUUGACAAAAAAAUGUUGUGGUUUUGAUGCGUAGGUAAGAACAGUUCUUGCUAGAAGCCCGUAGCAGCCAUGUAAAACUUGCAACAACAAAGUAGAGGAUGUCUAACUUGUUUUUGUAGGGCAUGUUGUGAUGUGAUAUGGUCAAGACGUGAUGAGAUAUAAAUUGUUGUAUGAGAUGAUCAUGUUUUGUAAAAGUUAUCGGCAACUGGCAGGAGCCUUAUGGUUGUCGCUUUAUUGUAUGAAAUGCAAUCGCCAUGUAAUCGCUUUACUUUAGCACUAAGCGAUAGUGAUAGUCGUAGAAGAAAUAGUUGGCGAGACGACAACGACGCUAUGAUGAAGAUCAAGGUGUCAAGCCGGUGACGAUGCAGAUCAUGACGUUGCUUUGGAGAUGGAGAUCAAAGGCACAAGAUGACGAUGGCCAUAUCAUGUCACAUAUUUUGAUUGCAUGUGAUGUUUAUCUUUUAUGCAUCUUAUUUUGCUUAGUACGUCGGUAGCAUUAUAAGAUGAUCCCUCACUAAAUUUCAAGGUACAAGUGUUCUCCCUGAGUAUGCACCGUUGCUACAGUUUGUCGUGCCGAGAGACCAUGUGAUGAUCGGGUGUGAUAAGCUCUACGUUCACAUACAAUGGGUGCAAGCCAGUUUUGCACAUGCAGAAUACUCGGGUUAAACUUGAUGAGCCUAGCAUAUACAGAUAUGGCCUCGGAACACUGAGACCGAAAGGUCGAACGUGAAGCAUAUAGUAGAUAUGAUCAACAUAGUGAUGUUCACCAUUGAAAACUAGUCCAUCUCACGUGAUGAUCGGACAUGGUUUAGUUGAUAUGGAUCACAUGAUCAUUUAGAUGAAUAGAGGGAUGUCUAUCUAAGUGGGAGUUCUUAAGUAAUGUGAUUAAUUGAACUUUAAUUUAUCAUGAACUUAUCCCUGAUAGUUUUUGCAUAUCUAUGUUGUUGUAGAUCAAUGGCCUGUGCUACUGUUCCCUUGAAUUUCAAUGCGUUCCUAGAGAAAGCUAAGUUGAAAGAUGAUGGUAGCAACUACACGGACUGGGUCCGUAACUUGAGGAUUAUCCUCAUUGCUGCACAGAAGAAUUUCAUCCUGGAAGCACCGCUAGGUGCAAGGCCCGCUGCAGGAGCAACUCUAGACGUUAUGAACGUCUGGCAGAGCAAAGCUGAUGACUACUCGAUAGUUCAGUGUGCCAUGCUUUACGGCUUAGAAUCGGGACUUCAAAGACGUUUUGAACAUCGUGGAGGAUAUGAGAUCUUCCAGGAGUUGAAGUUAAUAUUUCAAGCAAAUGCCCGAGUUGAGAGAUAUGAAGUCUCCAACAAGUUCUAUAGCUUCAAAAUGGAGGAGAAUAGUUCUGUCAUUGAACACAUACUCGGAAUGUUAGGGUACCAUAACCACUUGACUCAGCUAGGAGUUAAUCUUCCUGAUGAUAGUGUCAUUUACAAAGUUCUUCAAUCACUGCCACCAAGCUAUAAAGGCUUCCUGAUAAAGUAUAAUAUGCAAGGGAUGGAAAAGACUAUUCCCGAGCUCUUCACAAUUGUUGGGGAUAUAGCUACCAGGUAUGACCCGCCCAGGAGGGGCCGGGUCAACCCCAAUGGCGGGUUACGAGAAGAAGCCCAGUAAAUAUUCAAGGUGAUAGUUUAUUAAGACUUGUAGAAAGCCUAAGCCCAGAGGCGGCUUAAGGCCCAAUAUUGUGAACCUACAUAUGUAGAAAAAGACUUGUAAAGAAAGGCAUAUAAAAGAAGUCAUAGAGCCGGACACGUUUUAUGAGCCGGCCGGGACUCUGUAGGCCGCCAGGCGUCAACCCAUGUAUAUAAGGGGACGACCCAGUGGCGGCUUAGGACAAGAAAACAAGAGAUCGAUAGCCAAGUUAGCAGAUUAGCUCCUUGGUCAUCGAAACCCCAGCAAUUCCAACACAACUAGACGUAGGCUUUUACCUUCAUCGUAAGGGGCCGAACUAGUAUAAACCUCUCGUGUCCUUUGUCCCGAUUAACCCCUUUAAUCUUCCUAGUUGCGACGACCCUACGACUAAGUCCUUUUGCUAGGACAUCUGCCGUGACAAUUCCACGACAGUUGGCGCCCACCGUGGGGCCAGCGCACGGUGGAUUUGAGUUCUUGAAGGGCAACUUCGAAGGGCUCAAGGGAUACGCUGUGGGCCGGAUGACCAAGAGUUGUUGCGGCAAGCUCUACAUCGACGACGAAGGCUGGGGCCCCGAGGCUGGCUCAAUUGAGUACGGGUACCGGGUCCCCUUCGGUGGAAUCCAUGUCUUCAUCGGCUGGAUCGGCGAGUCAGACUCUGAGCUGGACGUCUACACCAACCUUAUCGAGACGGCUCAGCGCGCGAGAUCCGCCCGGGCUCAACCUGCCGUGAGGCAUGCCUUCGUGGGUUGCAUCCAUGGAGGUGAAUUCUCUGAAGGAUCAGUGGAUGGCGGUGAGACAGCCAUCUGUUCUGAUGCUACGUCAUCAACAGGCGAGGCGGAUUCUUUGUAUCAGCUGCAAGAUGGCAUGCUUGGGGGCUGUUCCGAUGGCAGCAGUAUUCCGGACCCCUUUGAGCCGCCGAAUCGAACCGGAGUCUUCAUGGCUGGCACUCAAACUGGGCAGAACUCCACGGCUGCAGCAACAAUAACCACCGGGUCGGCAGCGGCCGGGUCAGGAGACCCCGCGCGCCCCCCGGCUCAGAUGCUAAUGGACCACAUGGAUAAGUUGACGGCUCUGUUGACUGCGGUGGUGGAGCCAGCGGAUAAGGCUCAGCAUGACGCGGAGGUGGCACGGCUACGCAAAGAGAUGGCACAGGCCAAGGAAAAUUUAGCAGCAGAAGAGGUCGGGAUGGCCGCGGAGCGGGUGGCUUUGGAUGCUCGUGCUCAGCAGCUUCAAGCAGAGACUUUCCGGCUCUCGGUGGAUCUGAACGUGUCAAACGAGGUCAUGAGGAGAAGGCACCAGAAAACUCAGUCACGUAUGCCUCUGAUGUACGAUCCUAGGAACCUUUUCCACACACCCGGGGCUGGUCCAUGUAACCCAUCGGAGGCAAACCAGAUCACGACACUCGGGGCUGGGGCGCCGGUUCAACCGCGGGCCAUGGAACCACCUCGUACGAAUACCGCUCCGCCUCAUUACACACCAAUACCACUGGGUCACUUUUCUAACCCUUUGGAGAAUCUCAUUGCUGUGUCGGCUUGUUUGGCGGCUCUCCCGAUGGAAGGCGACUCUCCAACAACAAUUGAAACACGAAGGGUGAGAGAACUUCUUCAGACGGCUCUGGUGCAGCAGGAUGCGUACUCUUACAGUCGCGACAGAAUCCAUUCAACCCCUCGCCCAAGCCGGAGCCCGAGCUAUAGCAGGCAUAUGGACUCAGCCGCUAUGUCGAGCAACGCUCAACACCGUAACCGACCGUGUAGGCAUGAGCCGGCGCAGGGUGGAGCCCUUAACUUGGCGGAUUAGGAGAGAAUCCGUCAAGAGGCUGAGUGGGCGGCUCAACUGGCAGCUGAGCAAGCGGCUCAUCAGGCUUUUCUGGUUUAUCCGGCAACCUCCGUUGAGGCAUGAGUAGCCACAAGAACAGGAGGCGUCCCUUGCUUGGUGCCGGCUAUACGUAAUGAGCGCUUGCCAAAAUACUUUAAGGGGCCUCGUAAGGUGCCUAAUUACAUGGCCGACUUGCAGCCUGGGGCAUGGAUUGAAAGUUAUGAGAUGGCGAUGAAGUUGUUGGAGGUCAGCGAUGCAGCAAUGGCUAAGUAUUUCACUAUGAUGUUGGAUGGAACGGCUCACACUUGAUUCAAAAGGAUUGCCACCCAAUUCCAUCGGCUCAUGGGCGGAGUUAAAGGCCCGGUUUAUUCAGAACUUCAAGGACACAUGUAAAGAACCUAUGUCAAUCGUGGACUUGACUAAUUGUAAGCAAGAGGAAGGUGAGUCCACGACCCAUUGGGUGCGCUGAGUCAAGGAGAUAAUACAUUCAUCUGAUAAGAUGGAUGCCGACUCGGCGGUCUUAAUGUUGGAGAAAAAUGCCGUUUUGAACCUUUGAAACAGAAGCUGGGGUGGCUCAAGCGUGACUGUAAUGACAUGGGCCAGUUGAUGGCGGCCCUGGUCAAAUAUGCUGACUCUGACAGUACCAAGGAUCCUGUGUCUGAUGAAGAAAAAACAGGGAAGGGAAAGAAGAACGGCAACGACAAGGGUCACCAGCAUAACCCGGCGAAUCAAGGACGUAAUAAACGUAAGGCUGGCGAGUUUGUGGCUAACACCAAUACACAAGGCAACAACCAACGGCGCAAGGGUAGGCCACCUCCUCGGUCAGGUGGGUCAGGUCCCACCCUCGAGCAACUACUGAAUGAACCUUGUCCAAGACACGACACCCGGGAGAAGCCAGCUACCCAUCUGUGGAAGGAUUGUACGAUCAUGAAGGCAUUUAAAAAUUCCGACAUGUUUGAUGGUAGCCACGGACCUGGCGGCGGUUCAGACGGAGGUGGCUUUCAUGGCCCGGGCGCCGGUUCAGGCGGAGGCGGUUUUCACGGUCAGGGCCAUCCGGGUAACCAGGGUGGUUAUAAUCAGCAACCCGGCCAAAGUAAUCAGUAGCAACAACAGCAAUAGUCUGGGUAUCAGAGCAACCCAAAACAGUUGAAUAGUGGGAAGUACCAUGUAUUUACCACUAGUUUAUGCAAGAGGGACCAGAAGCUUCAUAAGAGGGCUGUCAAUGUCGUUGAGCCGGCGAUUCCGUGUUAUUUGAGGUGGUCAGAACAACCUAUUGUGUGGAGCAGGGAAGAUCACCCUCCCCGGGUUGAUAAUCCGGGUCACUUGGCCUUGGUGGUGGCACCUCAGGUUGGUGGAUAUAAAUUCACUAAGGUGCUCAUGGAUGGAGGCAGUAUCAUCAACAUCCUCUAUUAUGAGACGUUUCGUCAGAUGGGGUUGACUGAUAAGAGUCUUAAACAAUCCAACACUGUUUUUCAUGGUGUUGUGCCUGGUAAGUCGGCAUACCCAGUUGGUAAGAUUGAACUGGAAGUAGCCUUUGGGGAUGAAUAUGAUUCCAGGGCUGAGAAGUUAAAUUUUGAGGUGGUUAAGAUCAAAAGCCCAUAUCAUGCUCUGUUUGGACGACCGGCUUAUGCCAAGUUCAUGGCCCGGCCGUGUUAUGUGUAUCUACAGCUCAAGAUGUCGGGUUAUAAAGGUACCGUCACAGUACAUGGAAGCCGGAAGAUAGCCCUGGAAUGUGAAGAAGGAGAUGUCGCUUAUGCUGAGUCUGUUUGUGCGACAAAGGAGUUAAAGUUUUAUAAAGAUAAUGUUGACCCGACAGACAUGACGUCUUUGAAGAAGCCAACUACGGAGCAUGAACCGGUGUUGAAAUUCAAGUCAGCUGAUGACACCAAGAUGGUGGAUUUUGUGCCUGGCGACUCAUCCAAACAGUUCAUCAUCAGUGCCAACUUGGAUCCAAAAUAGGAAAGCGCGCUCAUCGAGUUUAUCCGUGAGAACUGGGACAUCUUUGCAUGGAAACCUUCUGACAUGCCGGGUGUCCCGAGAGAACUCGCUGAGCACACUCUUAACAUUGAUCCGAAGUUUAAGCUGGUCAGGCAGUUCCUUCGGCGGUUUAACGAGGAAAGGUGCAAGGCCAUCGGAGAAGAGGUGGCCCGGCUCUUGGCGGCCGGGUUCAUUGUGGAAGUUUUUCACCCAGAGUGGUUGGCUAACCCGGUGCUCGUACUAAAAAAACGGCACCCGACGUAUGUGUGUGGAUUACACCGAUUUGAACAAAGCUUGUCCGACUGACCCUUUUGCUCUCCCUCGUAUUGAUCAGAUCAUUGAUGCUACGACGGGUUGUGAGCGUUUGAGUUUUCUGGAUGCCUAUUCAGGUUAUCAUCAGAUCAAGAUGGCAGUCAAGGACCAGCAGAAGACAGCUUUCAUCACUCCAUUCGGAGCCUUUUGCUAUGUGUCUAUGCCUUUUGGGCUUAAGAGUGCCCAGGCGACUUAUCAACGGUGUGUGCAGAAUUGCCUUCACAGUCAGAUUGGGCGUAAUGUUCAUGCUUAUGUGGAUGAUAUAGUGGUGAACUCCAGAGAGAAGGAAACCUUGAUGCUUAACCCGGCCAAGUGUGUUUUUGGAGUCCCAGCUGGCAAACUCUUGGGUUUUUUGGUGUCUAAUAGGGGUAUUGAGGCUAACCCGGAGAAAAUUAAGGCAAUCACAUCUCUGGCCAAACCGGUGUGCAUCAAUGACGUUUAGCGGCUGGUGGGUCGCGUCGCCGCCUUAAGCCGGUUCAUAAGCUGGUUAGGGGAGAAGGCGAUGCCUUUGUAUUAGAUGAUGAAAAAGGCGGAUUACUUUGUCUGGAGUGAUGCUACUAACUCUGCUUUUGAGGAUCUGAAGAAACAGCUCGCUGAGCCGCCGGUUCUUGCUGCUCCGGUUGAGAAAGAGCCAUUGUUGUUAUAUGUAGCUACUAACUCACGUGCUGUCAGUGUGGCCACUAUUGUGGAGCGCAAGGAGGCUGGCAAAAAACAUCCGGUCCAACGGCCGGUGUACUACGUUAGUGAGGUACUAAUUGAAUCUAAACAAAGGUAUCCACAUUGGCAGAAGCUCGUUUAUGGGGUGUUCAUGGCAAGCCGGAAGCUCAAACAUUAGUUUCAGGGUCACCCAAUCACUGUGGUUAGCUCUGCUCCUCUAGGAGACAUCAUUCAAAAUAGAGAAGCCACAGGACGAGUUGCCAAGUGGGCUAUUGAACUUGGGUCUCAUGGUUUGAAGUAUAUGGCACGUACUGUGAUCAAAUCUCAAGUGCUAGUUGACUUCAUUAACGACUGGAUAGAGUUGCAGAUGCCAGAGGAGAAACCAGACAACACAUAUUGGAUGAUUCAUUUUGAUGGGUCCAGACAGUUGGAAGGCUCAAGGGCUGGAGUUGUUUUAACUUCUCCUCGAGGGGACAAGUUUUGUUAUGUGUUGCGAUUGAUGUUUCCUUGUACUAACAACGCAGAAGAAUAUGAAGCCUUGAUCCAUGGUCUUCGAAUGGCUAAAGAGAUGAGUCUGAGCCGGGUCCGGUGCCUUGGCAAUUCAGAUUUGGUGGCUCAACAGGUGUCAGGCAAGUGGGAUUCCAAGGAUCCUCUCAUGGUGGCUUAUCUCCGCGAGGUCGACGCUGUUGCAGGGCAUUUUAAGGGUUAUCAAGUGGAACACAUUGACCGCAGAAAGAACGAAGCGGCCGAUGCCUUAAGACGGUUGGGAUCUCAGCGUAAGCCAGUACCCCCUAACACCUUUUUGGAUGUUUUACAUAACCCGUCUGUUAAGUUGCCUACAGAGGAAGAUUUGGCCAUUCCUGACCCGAAGGCACGGUUAGUGGAAGCUACUCAUGUUAUUCCAGAUUGGAUAGUACCAUUCCUGGCUUAUAUGACCCGGGGCAAGUUGCCAGAGGACGAGACCCUGGCCCGAUAGAUAACUCGGCGGUCCAAGUCAAUGACGAUUUCUGACGGAGAGUUGUAUCAUCGCAGUGUCACUGGAGCAUUUUAGCGUUGUGUUUCUCCUAAAGAAGGUCAAGAAAUACUUCGUGAGAUCCAUGAAGGGGAUUGUGGUCAUCACGCCGGGUCAAAGUCUCUUGUGGCCAAAGCUUUUCGUCAUGGUUUUUACUGGUUAACGACUCACGCUGAUGCAGAGGAUCUGGUCAGUAGGUGUGAUGGAUGUCAAAAAUUUGCACGACGAGCGCAUGUGUCGGCUCAAGAGUUGUGGAUGAUUCCAAUCACUUGGCCGUUUGUAGUUUGGGGGCUUGACAUGGUUGGACCUUUCAAAAGGUCUAAGGAUAAAAAGACACAUCUUUUAGUGGCAGUUGACAAAUUCACAAAAUGGGUUGAGGCAGAGCCAGUGAGUAAGUGUGAUGCAGCCAUGACAGUUCAGUUCAUGAAAAAGGUGAUUUUUCGCUUUGGUUUUCCACACAACAUUAUCACUGACAAUGGCACUAAUUUGUCCCAAGGUGCUAUGGAGGAGUUUUGUCAAGGUGAGCAUAUCUGGCUUGAUGUUUCUUCCGUAGCUCACCCUCAAUCUAAUGGUCAGGCUGAGAGAGCAAAUCAGGAAAUCCUAAAAGGUCUCAAGCCCCGGCUUAUGGUUCCCUUACAACGGACGCCGGGUUGUUGGGUAGAGGAAUUACCCUCGAUGUUGUGGAGUAUCAACACCACUCCUAACAGGUCUACAGGUUAUACACCUUUCUUCAUGGUUUAUGGAGCGGAAGCAGUGCUGCCCAGUGACAUCCGUCAUGACUCGCCUUGCGUGGCAGCUUAUGUUGAAGCUAAUAAUGAACAAGCCCGAUAGGAUGCACUUGACUUGUUAGAUGAGGAGAGAUACUUGGCGGCGGCUCGAUCAACAAUUUAUCAACAGGACCUGCAUCGUUAUCACAGCCGCUGAGUUAAGUCCAGGACCUUUCAAGAAGGUGACCUGGUGCUCCGGCUCAUCCAGGAUCUGUCAGAUGCACACAAAUUAUCUCUGCCUUGGGAAGUGUCGUGGAUCUAAGACUGACAAUAGAAUAGGGGGGUAGGAAUGUAGAGGCAAGAUCCUAGCUAUGGAGGAGUUGUACACACGAGUUUUACGAGUUCAGGCCCUUCUCGGAAGAAGUAACAGCCCUACGUCUCGGAGCCCGGAGGCGGUCGACUGAAUAUAUGCGUGUGAAUUACAGAAAGUGUGAACCCUUGUCCCAAAGGAGGGGGGUGGCUUAUAUAGAGUGCGCCAGGACCACAGAUCCCCUCCGUUACACAUGGUUAAAUGCCCAUAAAGGGGGAACGUUACUGGUAACGUCUGAAGUAAAGUGUUGUAAAUGCUCAUAAAGCUAUGGUUUAAACCCUGACCGUUGCAGAGUGAAAGGUUUCCCAUAUUCUGGUGGUUGAGUGUCUUCAAGGAGGUCUAGUGAGCACAUCUUCGUGGUCGAGCGGAUGAUGGUUUCUCUUCGACUACUUCUGAUUCUUUGUAGAGAUGUCCUUGGGGAGGGUAUGUUGGACAGAUCCAUGGCCCUACCCUAGGUACAUAGCUUCAUCAUUAGCCCCCGAAUGGAUCAGGGUUUGAGUGAGGAAGGAGUUGGGAACACUUCCGACCCAUUCUUUGUGCUAUGAUUAUAUCUUGUUCUGGAACAGUGAGUUGAGGGGACGACGUCGACUCCUUUCUUAGUCGCCUUGGUCCAUUCUUGGUUUUUGUCGAGUGAAUUUUCAUGGUAGAAUUCCGAAUGAUAAUGUAGAGGAUGUUUGUCUUCAGUCUGGCAAGUUUCUCUGCUCUCCGUGGAUUCCGCGAGAUUCCAAUUUUGGGUAGUGCGCCAGGCGGACGGAACCGUGGUUAUCGGGACGGAUUAGGCAAGUCUCCUCGAUCCCCGCACCACCUUUUUCGCCACGUACUACGCGUGCGACUGUUGCGGGAUUUGUUUAGAUCGUCUGGGUCCACCAGUCAGUCACUUGAAGGACGAUCUUAUAAAAGGCACCGGACUAGGCCUUUUCCCCGUGCGCUCCCAUUCUCUCUUCUUUUUCCCCCGAUCUCUCCGCCACACUCGCUUCCGCUCUCGUCGCCGGACCCUCGCUCGAGCUCGACCCGUCGCCAUGGGGAAGGAGAAGACGAUGGCGCUAGAACACGUGAAGAAGGCGACCGCGAAGGCGAAGGGCAAGCGAACCAGCCGGGGCGGAUCCUCGUCGAGAUCCGGCCUGCCGCCGGGCUGGAUCCAGGGCGACUGGAUCCGCUCGACAAUCACCCAGGAUGACCUCAACGACCUGGUGGAGGGGGACUGAUCCCCCACAAGUCGGCACGGCUCCCGGGGAACGAGACCGAGCCGCAACCAAGAGAGGGUGAGUGUGUUCUCCUCGCCACCCAUGUAGAUCGCGGAUUCUCACUGCCUCCCCAUCCUUUCUUCUGGUGCUUUUUGAACUUCUUUGGGGCUCAGCUCCACCAUUUCACUCCAAACACCAUAGUCUAUCUCGCUGUUUCGUGUUGAUGUGUGAAAACUUCUUGGGCUAUCGACCGCACUGGAGUCUUUUCAAACACAUCUUCACCUGCCGCUCCCAGUCAGUCAAAAAGGCCAACCCGAGUGACGAGAGGACACAAGUGAUCCAAAUGUGUGGGGGUCUGGGGAUCCAGAUGAGGAGCAAGAGUACCUUCCCAGCCAUGAUCCUUCCUGACUCGGUCCGGGGCUGGCAGUCGACAUCGUUCUACUGCAAGGAUCAGCCAACCCCGGGUCAGUCAACUGGACUUCCUCCUUUUUCCUUAGCUCGAGUGGAGAAGCCCGCCCCCCUGAAGGUGGUUCCAGAAGAGAAGGCGCAUGUCAAUGUGCUGGUCGAGCGGGUCAUCCAACUCGUCCGCAAUGGGGUGACCGGGAUGGACCUACUGGAGGUCUUUCUCGAUCGACGCAUCCAACCGCUUCUGGCACGUGAUCAUUCGAUGUGGAUGUACUCCGGGCUCGAGGACUCCACUCGGAUCCACCCGGAGGACGUCAGUGAAGAUACCUUGGAGAAGUGGUUGAUGGGGAUCACCAGCAACAAAGACAACCCUCGGGGGUCUAGGAGGGUGAUUCCAUUCGACAACUCGCAUCAGCCGGAGCAGGUGUGAUUCUGUUUUAUCAAGUAUCUUUCCGAUUCACUGUGUGACAUCUUGUUUAUGGUCAACUGAAUUUCCUUUGACCGUUGUCUUUUCAGGCCCUCAUCGACAUGUACUCAAUGCCCAACGGAGUGCAGGAGCAAGACGUCGAGGAAGAAGCGAGUGGGGGCGAGAGCUGCGAAUGGCACUCGGAUGCCGAGGAGGACGAGGAGAGCGAUGAAUCGACUGAUGACGAAGAAGUCGACUCGCCCCCUCACAGGGAGAGGAGAUCCAAACAUGCUCAUGACCCAGCGAGUGCUUCGGACCUGGUGGCCGUGCCGAUUGGACAGUCUUUGAAGUGUCCCAGGAUGUCUUCUCCAACACCGACUGAGAAGGCUCCAAAGCAGUCCAAAGUUGUGCCGCCUCUAGCACCGAAAGCACCGAAAGCUACCUCCUCCAAACUGCCAAAGGCUUUGCCCAGGAUCAAAGUGACCGUCCCCACUAUCUCCGGGUAAUCAUCUGACUUGUCUUUUUCGUCGACUCAAUUAACCGGAUGUAACCGACUGAAUGCGGGUCUUUGCAGUGCUGCUACAUCAGGAACCUCUUCUCUCCAGUACCGGGACAAGGAGAUGGAAGAUGCAGUUACCUCCAACCCAGGUAUAAACCCUUGUGAUUUUGUUCUUGAUUCCUUGGUCGAUUGCGUUCUAGUGGUUCACUUGGGGUCGAAUGAUCUGCCUUGCAGCUCCACCCAACGUCAUCGAUCUUCCAGAUGAUGAUGAAGAUGUGGCUCUUAAGCCCAUGAAGAGCAAGAAGGUAGCAGCCGGCAAGAUGUCUCGGCAAGAAUCAACUACAACACCUCCCGUCCGUCAACCUGAAGACGCGGGCAGGGCCUCUGUGACCUUCGCUGAACCCUUGUUGAGUGUGCACCCCGCACCGUCGACUGCACCUGUGAUUCCUUCAGCCGUCCAACUCCACACCACGGAGCUCCAAGCUGCCGCACAUGGGUCGUCUGCUCACUUUUUUACCAGCUACCCCGUCCCGGACAACCGGUCGGAAGCGGCUGCGGAAGCCAUCCGACAGGCUGACAUGAUGAUGGAGCGGGUGAAGACAGUGCAUGAGAACAGCCAGGCUGCCUACGACGCCAGCGCUGCUCUUCGGGCCAAUGUCCAGGUGAGUAGACUUUCCGACUGCUUUUGCUCUAUGAGGAUAUGUUACCCGAAAAAUCUUCUUCUACACAAUCUCCUAUUGUUUGCUUCGAAUUAGAGCACCCAAUGGGUGUUUUGUUGAUUUCAGUAGUUUUGUUCUUCCACUCGGUCUGGGUGAGUGGGAUCUGAACCGGUGGAGGUGAUGGGGUCAUGUACCUAGGGUAGGGUCACAGACCUGAUCUAAGUACCCUGCCCAAGGACACCCUUGGAAGAGGUCACCUUCCAGUCGACCAACGAGGGACUCACUCGACUGACUUGAAGGACUCGACCACGAAGACUCACUCGACCACCAGAAGGUCAAGAGGCACUCUGCACUGCAACGGCCUGUAAUUAAGUAGACUUUAUGAUAGUAAAGACACUUUAUGUGGGGCAUCACCUGUAACGCCCCGGACUAAAUACACCUUAAACCCUUCAUUACGUGGGCUGGCUGGGGUCCUGGCGCACUCUAUAUAAGCCACCCCCCUCCACAGGCAGAAGGGUUCGGCAUCCUGUAACUCAUAUACACAUAAUCCACUCGACCGCCUCCGGGCUCUGAGACGUAGGGCUUUUACUUCCUCCGAGAAGGGCCUGAACUCGUACAUCUCUUGUGUUUACAACCUCUCCAUAGCUAGGACCUUGCCUCUCCAUACCUACCCCCCACUCUACUGUCAGACUUAGAACCACGACAGUUGGCGCCCACCGUGGGGCGGGUGUUUUAGCGAUUUUGUGGAGAAGUUGCGAUUCUUCUGAGUACUUUCAUCAUGGUGGCUGCUGGAGUUUUGGUUGAGGGUCGAGAGAUCCGUCUCGGUGCUCUCACCUUCGUCGCCGACGACUCCGCCUGGCUCCAGGAGGCUCCACUCGACGUUGAUGCGCUCCCCGUCCGCGGUGCGACGCAUUUUCGCGCAUGUGUCCGCGGCGUUCUGCUGCGGCAACCGUCGACCCCAUAUCGGUCGACUCCCCCAUCGGCCACUCUCCCGGUCUCCCGCCAGCGCAGGCGCUCGGGCCGGUCGAGGCUUCAGUGGUGGGUGAGGCACGCGGUGGCUCGCCAGACGGCCACCACCCAAGUUGCGGCAAUCGAGCCCGACGAAUAUCUCUACGGCCUGUUCGAUCUGUCGACUGACUCCGUAGAGACUGCAUCCGAGUGCGAUAGCAGUGAUCCAGCGGCGGAAAUCCUGAUGGUCGACGGGCCCCGCAGUCCCCCUGGCUUCGCCCGUGAUGGUGGAGCAGGCGACGGAGGCGACCCCGCACGAGACCACGAAGAGUACCAGCCCGAGCCACUCGACUCUCUACAAAGAGAGGAACUUCACCGCAGGAACGUGGAUGCCCUGCGUACUCCCAUCGCAGGAGAAACCCCCGAGGCUCGCGCCUUGGAGGAGGCACGUUUGGCCAAUUUGGCCGAACGCACUCGACUGGAGAAUCUUCAGCGAGCACUCGACGAGCGCGCGCGGCAACGAGUUCCCGACACCAGUCGACGUCAACUCUUCCCACCGACUCAGGUAUAUCGAACCCCAAUCCAGAAUUUAGCAGCUGCGACCCGUAUAGCAGAGUCCAUCCAGCCCUCUCAGUCGGAAGCUGGCAGAGGCUUGUGCAGAUCAGGGAUCUGCUCCGGGCAGCAGGAGAUCAGAAUUCGGCCGUGUCGCAGUCGCGCAACAGAAUUCACAGUCGAUCCGUCGCUGCGAAUACGGUUCAGUCGGCUCACAGCCCCAGAUCGCCUCCACGGCGUGAAGGGCGCGAGAAUCGGCGAGACCAAUAUGGUGACCGACUCGACCGAGAUGAUAGGCGUCGAGUGCCCAAUUCCCCUCCGAGGGGUGGGUCUUACGCUCCUCGGCAGCAAGAUGACAGACGUCAGCUCAGUGCGGGGCGAAGAGUUCCAGUCGACCCCAGAGAACCAGGCUUUGACGCGUGAUCCAUUCUCGUGCAAGGCUUAGUCGACCGGAACAGAGCCCAUCGAGGUGGACUCGACAGAGAUGCGCCCACAAGCAGUCGAGUACAUGUUUCUGGUCCUGAAUGUUUCAGCAGAGCUAUCAGAGCCGCAGUUAUCCCUCCCAAUUUCAGGUUGGCAACAGGAGUCAGCAAGUUCACUGGUGAGUCUAAGCCUGAAACUUGGCUUGAGGACUACCGAGUGGCGGUUCAGAUUGGUGGUGGGAACGACGAGGUGGCCAUGAAGCAUUUGCCCCUCAUGCUGGAAGGUUCUGCCAGGGCAUGGUUGACUCAAUUACCUCCUAGCAGCAUUUACACUUGGGAAGAUCUGUCCCGAGUGUUCAUCACAACGUUUGAAGGAACUUGCAAGCGACCGGGUGGAUUGACGGAGCUGCAAGUCUGCGUGCAGAAGACCAAUGAGACUCUCAGGGAGUAUAUUCAGAGAUGGAUCACUUUGCACCAUACUGUGGAGAAUGUGUCUGAUCAUCAGGCAGUCUGCGCCUUUAAGGAUGGUGUCAAGAACAGAGAAUUGAGUUUGAAAUUUGGUCGAACCGGUGACAUGACCUUGAGUCGGAUGAUGGAGAUUGCUACCAAGUACGCCAACGGCGAAGAAGAAGACCGACUCCGAAGCGGCAAGCACAAGCCGAGUCAGUCGGAAAAGGGAAACACCAGUCGGAAACAUAAGCGGAAGGCUGAACUGGCAGCUCCUGGAGAGGCUCUGGCCGUGACUCAAGGAAAGUUUAAAGGGAAACCAAAAGGAUCCUGGAACCCUAAGAAGGUAAAGGAUAAAGAAGGGAAUGACGUGAUGGAUAUGCCGUGUCACAUCCACACGAAGAAAGACGAAGAGGGGAAUAUCAUCUACCCGAAGCAUACCACUCGCCAAUGUCGACUCCUGAUCCAGCAGUUUCAGGGAAAACAGUCUAAGGACAAGGAGAAGGAGUCGGACAAGGCCGCAGACAAGGAGGACAGUGAGGAAGGAUAUCCGCAUAUCAACUCCACUCUGAUGAUCUUUGCAGAUGUGGAAAGCAAGAGUCGAUUGAAAGUCAUUAACCGAGAGGUGAAAAUGGUCGCCCCAGCAAAAGCAAAUUAUCUGAGAUGGUCCCAAACACCCAUCACAUUCGACCAAUCUGAUCACCCGACUCAUAUUGCCACCCCUGGGAGGCAAGCUUUGGUGGUCGAUCCAGUUGUCGAAGGCACUCGACUGACAAAAGUGCUGAUGGACGGUGGUAGUGGGCUGAAUUUGUUGUAUGCAGACACGCUGAAAGGAAUGGGCAUUCCGAUGUCCCGACUGAGCACCAGUAACAUGAGCUUUCAUGGAGUUAUACCAGGGAAGAAAGCCGAGUCACUCGGCCAAAUAGCUCUGGACGUGGUGUUUGGUGAUUCGAAACAUUUUCGCAAAGAGAAGUUGACGUUUGAGGUCGUGGAUUUUCAUAGUGCAUAUCAUGCCAUUUUGGGGAGACCAGCUUAUGCACGGUUCAUGGCUCGACCAUGUUACGUGUACCUCAAAUUGAAGAUGCCCGGCCCCAAAGGAGUGAUCACUGUCACCGGUGAUCGGAAAAAGGCAGAAGAGUGCUUUCAGAAGGGCUCAAAGAUUGCCGAUUCCCAGGUGACAGCGGUCGAGUUCGAAGAAUACAAGCAAAACGCAGAUCCGAGUGAUUUGCUGCGAUCCAAGAAACCCGCCACAGAAUCUGCAUUUCAGUCGUCCGGUGAGACAAAGCCUGUUCACAUUCACCCGACCGACCCCGAUGCAGCUCCGACCCACAUCUCCACAACACUCGACCCGAAAUAGGAAGAAGCGCUCAUCCAGUUCCUCCGUGAGAACUGGGACAUUUUUGCAUGGAAGCCCGCUGACAUGCCAGGUGUUCCCAGGGGACUGGCUGAGCAUCGCCUAAGAGUCGACUCAUCUGCAAAACUAGUCAAAGAGCAUCUUCGGCGGUCCGCCGUCUAGAAGAGAAAAGCCAUUGGUGAGGAAGUGGCUCGACUGUUGGCGGCAGGAUUUAUCCGAGAGAUAUACCACUCCGAGUGGCUCGCUAAUGUCGUCAUGGUUCCUAAGAAGGACAAAUCGCUCCGAAUGUGCAUUGAUUUCAAGCACAUCAACCGGGCCUGCCCGAAAGAUCAUUUUCCUCUCCCUCGCAUAGAUCAAAUUGUUGACUCGACCGCGGGAUGCGAGAGACUGUCUUUUCUAGACGCCUACUCCGGGUACCACCAGAUCCGUCUGUACGGACCCGACGAGGUAAAAACAGCUUUCAUCACUCCAUUCGGGUGCUUCUGCUAUAUCACCAUGCCAUUCGGCCUCAAGAAUGCCGGAGCCACAUUUAUGCGAAUGAUUCAGAAGUGUCUACUCACUCAAAUCAGUCGGAAUGUGGAAGCGUAUAUGGAUGAUAUCGUCGUCAAGUCACGAAAAGGUUCCGACCUGCUUGCUGACCUUGCCGAAACAUUUGCCAACCUCAGAAGGUAUGAUAUCAAGCUUAAUCCAUCAAAGUGCACAUUCGGAGUUCCUGGUGGCAAGUUACUCGGUUUUCUCGUUUCCGAACGAGGAAUCGACGCUAAUCCAGAGAAGAUCGACACUAUUCUCCGAAUGAAACGCCCUGUGCGAGUGCACGAUGUCCAGAAGCUUACUGGAUGCUUGGCCGCAUUAAGUCGAUUCAUCUCACGACUCGGUGAAAAGGCAUUGCCUCUUUACCGACUGAUGAAAAAGGCAGACAAGUUCGAGUGGACUCCAGAAGCUGAUGCAGCGUUUGCCGAGCUAAAAGCUCUACUCUCCACCCAGCCGGUGCUUGCUGCUCCAAUCAGCAAAGAGCCUCUGUUGCUUUAUAUCGCAGCCACAGGACAAGUCGUCAGUACUGUGCUUACGGUCGAGCGGGAAGAAGAAGGAAAAGCUCUCAAAGUUCAGCGCCCAGUGUAUUAUUUGUCUGAAGUCUUGACUCCAUCCAAGCAGAGAUAUCCUCAUUAUCAGAAGCUUGUGUAUGGAAUAUACAUGACCACAAAGAAGGUUGCUCAUUAUUUCUCUGAUCAUUCCAUCACAGUCGUCAGCGAUGCUCCACUAUCAGAGAUUUUGCACAACAGAGAUGCAACUGGUCGAGUGGCUAAAUGGGCGAUUGAACUUCUUCCCCUUGAUAUCAAGUUUGAGGCAAAGAAAGCCAUUAAGUCCCAGGCAAUAGCAGAUUUCCUCGCCGAGUGGAUUGAACAACAGCAGCCGACUGAAGUUCACUCAGAGCAUUGGACCAUGUUCUUUGAUGGCUCUAAGAUGUUGAAUGGUUCCGGUGCUGGGGUUGUCCUGGUUUCCCCCAGAGGAGAUAAGCUCAGAUAUGUGCUCCAGAUUCACUUUGAUUCCUCCAACAAUGAGGCAGAAUAUGAGGCCCUCUUAUACGGAUUGCGCAUGGCCAUUUCACUCGGCGUCCGUCGCCUGAUGGUCUAUGGAGACUCGGAUUUAGUGGUCAACCAAGUGAUGAAGGAGUGGGACGUGAGAAGCCCAGCCAUGACUGGAUACUGCAGUGCAGUGAGGAAGCUGGAAAAGAAGUUCGAGGGGUUGGAGCUCCAUCAUAUACCCCGACUGAAAAAUCAAGCAGCUGAUGAUCUAGCAAAGAUAGGUUCCAAGAGAGAAGCCAUUCCGAGUGGUGUGUUCUUGGAGCAUAUACACACUCCGUCAGUCAAAGAAGAUCCUUUCACCGAAGAAGCUCCACAGCCCAAGAGUGCCACAGAUCCGACUGAGGUUGAAGUCCCAGCAGUGGUCGACUUGGCCAUGGAGGUCUUGGUGGUCAUUCCCGACUGGACAGUUCCAUAUAUCGCAUAUAUCCUGAGAAAAGAGCUCCCGGAGGAUGAGGAAGAGGCUCGACAGAUCGUCCGUCGAUCUAAGGCCUUUACCGUAAUCAAAGGACAAUUAUACAGAGAAAGCGCGACUGGAGUUGGUCAGAAGUGCAUAACACCAGAAGAAGGUCGAAUCAUCCUCAAUGAUAUCCACUCAGGAACCUGUGGUCAUCAUGCGUCCUCUCGGACCAUCGUGGCCAAAGCAUACCGAGCCGGAUUUUACUGGCCAAAGGCGAAUGAGAUGGCAAAGGAAAUAGUGGAUAAGUGCAAGGGAUGUCAGUUCUACUCGAAUAUGUCGCACAAGCCUGCAUCGGCUCUGAAGACCAUCCCACUCGUCUGGCCUUUCGCAGUAUGGGGGUUGGACAUGGUCGGUCCUUUGAGAAUAGGGCGAAGUGGCUUCACGCAUGCACUGGUGGCAGUCGACAGGUUCACCAAGUGGAUUGAGGCUAAACCAAUCAAGAACCUUGACGCCGGUGCUGCUGUUAGCUUCAUCAGGGAACUGAUAUUCAGAUAUGGAGUCCCGCACAGCAUCAUUACGGAUAAUGGGUCGAACUUUGACUCGGAGGAAUUCAGAGAUUUCUGUAACUCUCAAGGCACACGAGUCGACUACGCUUCAGUCGCUCAUCCGCAGUCGAAUGGACAAGCAGAGCGAGCCAAUGGCCUGAUUCUCAAGGGAUUGAAACCCCGACUAAUGCGUGAUCUCAAGCAUGCAGCUGGAGCUUGGGUCGAUGAACUUCCCUCGGUGCUUUGGGGACUGCGGACCACACCUAAUCGGUCGACCGGAAGAACUCCAUUCUUCUUGGUCUACGGAGCUGAAGCAGUCUUACCGAGUGAUCUUCUCCACAAUGCUCCUCGAGUUGAAAUCUACAACGAAGCAGAAGCUGAACAAGCGCGGCAGGACGCAGUCGACCUUUUAGAGGAAGAAAGGGAGAUGGCUCUGAUCCGGUCGACCAUUUACCAACAAGAUUUGCGUCGUUUCCACGCCAGAAAUGUGAGGGGUCGAGCCUUCCAGGAAGGAGAUUUAGUUCUCCGAGUGGAUCAGAAGAAACAACACAAGCUUGCUCCUUCUUGGGAAGGACCCUUUAUCGUCACCAAAGUUCUCCACAACGGGGCGUACCAUCUUUACAACGUCGAGCAUAAUAUCGACGAGCCCCGAGCUUGGAACGCGGAACUACUCCGCCCAUUUUACACUUAAGUUUAAUCACUCGGAUGAGUUGCAAUAAAGUACUUCUGUAGUCCAUGGACCUCAAAAUAAUAGUGUCAUAGUUCCUCCAUAAUUUUUGUCACUUUUUAUUUUGUCCAAUAAAAUUUCCCCUCAGUGGGUGACUUAGCCGCGAAUCCGUUUCGCCUAAGUUUGUAAAAAUCCUACCGAGUGGUGAGCCAGACUCCCACUCGGAGGCUUAGUUGCGAAUCCGUUUCGCCUAAGAUUAAAUAAAAUCCUACCGAGUGGUAAGCCAGACUUCCACUCGAAGGCUUAGCUGCGAAUCCGUUUCGCCUAAGAUUAAAUAAAAUCCUACCGAGUGGUAAGCCAGACUUCCACUCGGAGGCUUAGCUNNNNNNNNNNUAAGAUAUAAAAAUCCUACCGAGUGAAGAGCAAACCUCUCACUCGGGGGCUUAGCUGCAGCCCAGCGCUCGCCUAAGUUAUCAAAAUCCUACCGAGUGAAGAGCAAACCUCUCACUCGGAGGCUUAGCUGCAGCCCAGUGCUCGCCUAAGAUAUAAAAAUCCUACCGAGUGAAGAGCAAACCUCUCACUCGGGGGCUUAGCUGCAGCCCAGGCGCUCGCCUAAGUUAUCAAAAUCCUACCGAGUGAAGAGCAAACCUCUCACUCGGAGGCUUAGCUGCAGCCCAGCGCUCAUCUAAGUGGACUAAGGAAUAAGUCGAUUGCAGUAAGCGCCCUGCUUUGAACCUGCAAAAGACAUUUCGAGCCAAAAGCAAUCAUAUUCAAACGCCAAAUUCAAGUUCGGAUCGAUACCUAAAGGAACUGAAAGUGCUCAGGCGCUAAGCCCGUUAAGGUUUAUCGGUUACAUCUCCACUCGGCAUACCGAGGCAAAUUUAAAGCGUCGAGCUUAGAAGAAGUUUUUUACCCCUCCUGAGGAGGGCUGGAAGGUGCAACAAACUCAUCAAGAUCAAUUCCAUCUGCGAUCCGAGUGGCAGCCGCAAGGAAAGUUUCCAUAAAGGACCUGAAGUCGUGUUUCUUGGUGUUGGCCACCCGGAGGGCCGCCAGCUUGUCUUCUCGCGCAUCUUUGCAGUGGACUCGGGCCAGACACAGAGCAACAUCUGCACCGCACUAAGCCGAUGACUUUUCCACUCCUGCACUCGACCAGGGAUCGUGUUCAAGCGAGCCAUCAGCGACUCGAGAUCAUUCUGAAGUGUCUCCCCGGGCCAGAGCGUCGAGUCGAUGCGAGAUGUGGCGACCUUCAGCCUUGCAAGAUAGUCCACGACAGCUGCAACACGGGACUCCAGUCGGAAAACAUUCAUGGCAACUUCGUCGUUCAUCGGAGAAUUGACGGGGUCAAGGUUUGGUUCCAGCCGGCUAGUUUCUUCUUCAAAGUUUUGACAAAAUUCUGCAAGGACGAUCACCGAGUCAAGGCAAUGGUCGAAUGGAAAAACCACGGUUGGAAAUGAUUGCCGAGCAUAGAGAUUUACCUUCAAGCAUAAGAAACAGCUUCUUGGCAAGACCAUUCAGGAAGGCCUCCAGAUCUUUUUUCUUCCCAAGAGCAGCUUUCAGAUUGGCAUUUUCUUGCUCAAGCUUGGCGACUGAAGCUAACUUCUCGUCAACAAGCUUGAUCUUCUCAGCUAGUUCAAGGUCCUUCUUCCGUUGGGCCUCCCUCACCUUACCUGCAAGUUACAGCAAGAUCAGAUUUUGAAACAAAUGAAGGGAAAAAGCAGUCGUCAAGGUCUCACCAAACAUACCUUCGGUCUCCUCCUUUGCCUUCGUCAGAUUCUCCUGAACCAGCUUCAAUUUCAGCUCGAGCUGAAUGUGCUUGUUUUCCAGCUCAGAGUAGCGAGCCACAAGAUCACAGGAGUUCUGCAAAGAACCAAUCGACUAAAUGUCAAAUAUAAUUCACUUCCAAGUGGAAAAGGAAAAAUCAUGCGUUUCUAAGACUACAGCCGAAUACAAGCAUUCGACCGUAGUCUCGGGGACUACACCCAGUGGGUGCACUCAGCGUGCCCCCACUAAUCCUAUUGAAGAUAGAGUCGACCAGUCGACCUAAAAAAAA